AUUACAAAGGUAUUCACUGAAAAAGCAUAUAAUAGACAAUUAAGUUGUUGUAAAGAGGUAUUCACUGAAUAAGAUACGAGACCCAGCAUUCUGUCUUGUUCCUGCAUCUCAGUUUUCAGACAAUUGUAAACUAUUUUCUGUAACUCCCUGGUCUUCAUUGUGCCUUUGGGUAACUCUUUUCUAAUUUGUGGCAUUAAAUAUUCUGGGUUCACUUAAUCAUUUAAAUUUAGUAGUUUAUGAGUUAUGUUAGGUGACAUAGAAAACAAGUGUGGUUUCUUAAGCUAUUUGGAAUAUUUUAAUUGUUACUACUUCACUGUUAUUGUAAAGAUGUUUACCUUACUUCUUCAUUGGGUGCAUCAUAUUCAUGACCCCUUAUUCUCUUUUGAAACUGCAAAAUGAUUCAAGCUGCCAAAGUUUUUUAAGUAUUUUGAGAAUGAACUUGGAGCAACUGUGAUCUUUGGAUUAUUUGCAAUAUAUUGGGUCAUUCUACGAUUAAUAUUCUUCCCCUUUUGGGUCAUCAAAUGUACAAGGUUUGCCUGCAUGAUAAAUGAUUUGAUGCCACCUUAUUUGGUCAUCUAGCAGUUUAUUUGGCUUAUUUGCUUUUUUGAUUUGCAUUUUCCUACUACGAUCUUUAGUUCUACUUGAACUUAUCAGAGAUACUUUCAUUUACUACUUGUUCAAUACAAUGUUGCCGAUGCUCUUUGUGGUCCAGAUAUGCUGGUGGGUUCUCAUAUCCUCAAUGAUCUGGAGACAGCUGAAAAGUGGUCAACUUAGGGAAGAUAUAAGAUCUGGUAAGCAUUUUGAUGCUUCCAUUAUCAGUUUGAUUCAUUUAGUGUCGUCAAUUAUUCCCAGUAGUCUUUCUCCCUCUGUGGAAAUAAGCAUUGUUUUUGCUUUGAUAGUUUGCAGGAAACUUGAUCCCAUAUAAUAGUUUUGCUAGAACUUAAUUAGUUAUAUUCACAUGUGCCUAAGCCUCAGCCAUAUUUAAGUUCUUGUUUCAAAACCUAGAUAAAAUGAACUUAUAAUUGGAUAUUAAUUGUAAAUGAAACAAAAGGGUAAAGGAAUUAAUUAGUUAUAUUCACAUAUGCCUAAGUUUUGAAGGAAAGUUAGCUGCCUUUAUGGGUACCCUUUUGGUUCCACAUUUUAUUGCCGCAAAGAAUUAGUUUAAGUUACAUGAGAAACUUGAAAGUUUUACUUUAAUAGAUAAUUCUUUAUAAUGAUACUAUUGGCUAUAGUCAAUUGGUGUUGCACUUGCAGGUUGAGAGAAACUGCUGGACUUAGGAGUUUUGCUGGGUAUUUGUUGAGAAUAGGAAUUUAUCUAGUGGAAUUUCACUGAAAAUAUGGGAGAAGUCUUGCACUACAAGAUUUGACGGCUUCAUAGCUUGUAAAAUUUAAAGCAUUUGCUCGAGUUAAAUUUUUUUUAUUACUUUGGAUGGGUUAAUUGUUGGAUACAAGUGUUUUUGGAUGGUGUUAUUAAUAUAAAGUGUUUUUAGACUUGUUAGAAUGUAUAAUUUAACUUUUGGUUUAUAUUGAAUUUGUGAUUAAAUUCAUAUGUAGGAAUGCAUAAAUUUAAAUAAAAUAAUUUAGAAUUUCUUUAAAUAUAAAUUUAGAUCCUGGGACAAAAAAAACCAGUCAUAAAUUAUGUCGCAAAUACAAUAAUUAAUGAUAAAAAAUUUCAAUUAUUAAUUCGAUCACAAACAAAAUAGUUUACCCUCUAAAAUUAAUUGAAUAAUAAUAUACGUGUAAAAGAUAAUUUUCCCGCCAAAAUUUAAGAUAAAAUUUAAUUUUCGAGCCAAAAACUAAUUAAAAUAUUCAAUUUUUAAGAUGACUGACAUAUGACUUCGAAACAUUAUCGUAUGUUAAUGUAAUGACACAUUUUUUCUAUUAUAAAAGAGUGAUAGAUAUAUAGAUAGAUAAAUUCACUGUCAUUUACCCCCUUUAUGAUUUUUUUUCAGUCAUUUAUUGUCAAUUUUCGUGUUGUGAUUAUUAUUGUUAUUGUUAUUUAUUAUUACUACAAACAUUUAGUAUUAGUAUUAAUACUAUAUUGGCGCUUGUACUUAUUUAUAGUUGGGCCUAAUUUUUGCAAAGCCCAUUUUAGACAUUUUCAUCUAACCCAUUAACUAAUAGCAGGCAUAAAGUAGAGAUUGACGAUAAAAUAAGAGUUAACUUUUUCUUCUAUCUUUGGUCGGCCAUGAAUGUUCAAGUUAGAGUAUAAACUUAGAGUUAUUAUGUUUUAUCUAUGUGAUUAAGGAUUGGAAAGUUUUGAUUCUUGAGCUUAUUUUAUGAGUUUUGGUCGGCCAAGAUGCUAAUUCAUUGUAUUUGAAUUUUUGUGAAUUAAUGAGUAAAGGCAUAUCUAAAAUUGGGCUCCUAAUUCCUUGUAUUUUAAUUUUUUGUGAAUUAACGAGUAAAAGUUCUCAAUUUUAGAUUCCAGAUUUCAGGACAUAAUAGUCUUGGGAAAAAAAAGUUAUUUGGAAUAAUUUUGAUUGAAUUUGGCUUUGAAACUUUUAUGGCCUAUAUAUUAAUACGUUUAUUUAAGCCCUACAAAUUUCAUGAUUUUUGUAUUAGUAAUUUAUUUUAUAAUAAUCGAAGAUUGAGGGCUGGUGAUUUAUAUGUUUGCACUCCACAUAAAACCUUUCCAUUUAUGAAGUAUAGGAAAUAGUUUGAUGAGUAUAAUAGAUUAUUAUUACCUUUUUAUAUGAAUAUAAUAUUCACGGGUAAUAUUCAUAAUAAACUGCUCUUAAAAGAGCCCACGGGUCGUAAUGCAAACAUAAACGUGAUCAUCAACAAUUUUGCAAAUCAAAUCAAUUCUAGUUCAAGAUUGUCACUCCAUGCCUUGUGCAUUUGGAUAGAAUUGCCCUUUGGCAACAACGACAGUCCUUAUAGAAAACACACACUGUUAGGUAAAUAAGAGCACCAGCUCGGCCAUGCCAUCAUCCCCACGCCGGGGUGGACCACCUCAGCCGAGUGGUGCGAGCAGAACACUGAUAAUGAGCCUUCUACAAAUAUGGGCCGACCAGAGACGAGUACCGGCCAGAGGAAUAUAUCGACCAAAAACAUAUACCGAGUCGAUACCCAUCCCCCAAAGAGCGGGAACACGAUCUCACAAAAUCACGAUAGUUGCGCUUUUCCCAGAACUGUUGAAGGAGACGCGAAAUCCUACGUUUGCCCACAAUGUAGCAGUUAGAACCCCAUGAGGGGCUGCCACUACUCGAAAAAGGGGGGAUGAAGGGUGAAUGAAAAUGUGGGACAACAGCUAUAAAAGAGGAAGAAAUCAAUGAAGAAGAAGGGGGAAAAAUUUGAGAGAAGAGAAAACUCUGCCAAAUUGAAACCAGAUCAUUUUCAAUACAAAAUUGUGAGCUCAUUAUAAGCAAUUUAUCGAAUCUUAAUUGCACGGUUUUUCCGUAAACACCUUGUGCUAACUUAGGCAUUGGAGGGUUUAUGCCAGCAAAUCCACCGGCGUCUCUGAUCCAUUUUUGUGAACGCAGACUUAGUGGGAGAAGGAAGGAUAAUUCCAACUUCAGUGACUAGAGCUAUCGUCGAAGUAAGAAGAAAUUGACAUCCUCACUGUUGAUAACAUAAACGUUGGUGUAAAGGUCUGGUCGGGCAAAGGACGAGCAGAUUUUAGCAUUAACAUAUUGGCGCCGUCUGUGGGGACUUGAAUAAAAAGCUACCGGCAAAUUAGUAAUUACCAGAGAAGCAGCGAACGGUUAGGUAUGGAUGUGGCAAGGAAGGAUGCUUUGAGGGAGGACAAUGAAACUGUGGAGACAAUCACUCUCCGGGAAAUUGUGAAUGAAGCUCGAGAGAGGAUGAUGAAAGAUCGACUGGAGCGGAUGGAGAAACAAAUGGAGACGCUCGCAGCCAUACUGUAUGAGCUGAGGGAUGAGCGGAGAAGGGAUUGUGAAACCCCCGUGGGGAGAGAUGAAGUUGGAGCAGAACCCAGCCUCUAGAGGCGUAGAGUCGAGGAAAUCCCUCCGCCGGCAGACUAACCUAAUGAGGUGCAUCCCCAUAGAAGUACUGGUCGGGUUCCAAGAGAACGUGUGGAUGAAGGGAGGGACCAACCUCACCCCGGACGGGUACUGGAAAUUGAUGGCUGAAGGGCCAGUGUUGAUGAAGGAGAACUUAGACAGCGGUUGCAGAAUGCCGAACAGGAGCGAGAUCAGAUAGCUGCGCGUGAUCCUGAUCGUGCUGUAGAAUUGGAGGGAGAGGUGCGCAGAUUGGCGCAGGUGAUGGAGGAUAUUCAGGGCAAGAGAAAGCCCCCGAGUUGGAGGAUAAUGCUAGAUGAAGAGUCUCCCUUAUUAACCGAGAUCAUGGGUAUUGUAAUCCCAAGUGAUUUCCGCUUCCCUGACCUCAAAUACUCCGGGCGAAGUGAUCCGCUGGUGCAUAUUGAACGUUUCAACGACAUGACGGGUGUUCAGGGGUUGACACCAGCUCAGAGGUGCAGGGUGUUCCCAUUGACACUAGAGGGACGAUCCCGAGAAUGAUACAACAAGCUGUCACAGGGAAGUAUUAAAGGGUACGAGCAGAUGUACCAAGAGUUGGCUGAACAGUUUCGAGGAGCAGUGACCCCAGAGGAUGAUAUGAUGGAACUAAUGGGGAUGAAGCAGGAGAAACAAGAAUCCCUUCGGGAUUUUGUAAAACGAUACCACCAGGCCGUGCUUGAUUUGGGAGCUUUCAAUCAUCUGCAGGCGUUGAGAGGAUUAAAAGAGGGUAUGAGGAUAGGCCGGCUAUGGUAUAACCUAAGAAGUCCCCUGGUGCAGAAUUAUUCAGCAGGGUAUGAGCAGGCGAGGAGAGACAUUGAAAUCGAAGAGAAAAAAUCGGCAAGGAUAAAGAGUGAACAGCUGGAGGAGCUGAGACGAAAGGAAAGGAGAACCCCAAGUGGGAGCAGGUCGGGAAAGCGAGCUGGGGAAUCCUCACUGAUGGGUGCAAUAUCAGCUCGGUCUCGCCCUUACCCCAUGGCUCAGAGACUGCAACAGGUCCAACACAAUCGAGCUCAGCUUCCGCGCCCCCUAUUCCCGGAGCGGCAACGAGAAUUCCGGCAGUUGGCUAACCAUCCUUAUCACAACGCUCCCAGAGCACUAUAUACAGCCAACUCCAGAACUGGGCGACCAGGUCAGCUACCUUCAAUAUCAGCUCAGGACGAUAUUCAUGAUAGCCGAGCAGUCCAGCUGAUUGACCAGAGCUUGGCGUACAGACAAUACACCCCGUUAAAAGUCCCUAAGGAGGAGUUGUAUGAAAGAAUCGAGGGACGAGGCCUGCUGUACCCUCCAGCCCCUAUAACAAAACCUGCUCACCAACGGGAUAAGAGCAGAUUCUACAAAUUUCACAACACUCACGGUCACACUAUCAGCCAAUGUUGUGACCUAAAGAUUCAGGUGGAGGAUUUAGUGAGGAAUUGAUACUUGGAUGAGUAUGUAGAUGGAGUGUCCCCCGUCAUUGAAUCACAACACACGCGAGAUGAAGGAGUUGAGAGGGAUCUGAAACGUGAACAGCCAACCAUUCGUGUGAUAGCAGGAGGGCCAACAUUGGCUGGGGAUUCGAACAUGGCACGAAAGAACUAUGGGAGAUACGCCAUGACUGGCAAAGAGGUGCUUCUCAAUUUGCCAGCAGCCAAGAGAGCAAAAGUGCGGCAAGUUUCCAUUAUGUGGACAGAGGAGGACGAAGAGGGCAUUUUAUAUCCUUAUGAGGAUGCACUAGUGAUUAAGGCAUUGGUGGCUAGUACAGAAUUGCGGCGAAUACUUGUGGACACAGGCAGCUCAGUUGACAUUCUGUUUAAGUCGACCCUAUAUGAUAUGGGAAUUUUGGAUUUGAAGCUGGAGCAGACAAAUACCUCAUUGAAGGGAUUUGGAGGGGGAUGGUUAACCCCCAUGGGGAUCAUUGAACUCCCGAUUACUGUGGGGUCAAAGCCGUUUGAAAGAACGAUUAUGCUAGACUUUGUCGUGGUAGAAGAAAGAAGCCCUUACCAGAUGAUACUGGGGAGACCGUUCAUGAGGAUAAGUCAAUGUGUAAUGUCCACGCAUUAUCUGGUGUUGAAGUACAGAGUAAAUGGAGUUGUUGGCGUAGUAAAAGGCGACCAGAGAAUGGUAAGGAGCUACUAUACUACAGCGGCCAAGGAAACGCUGCAGGUUACCUUUCUAGAUAACCGAGGGGAUUCAAAAAAUGGUCGCCAAGAACCUGUUGAGAAGCUGGAGGGAGUUGUUGUAAGCAAGAGUAACUCGAGCAGAGUGGUUAAGGUCGGGUUAGAAUUGGGCGAAACAAUAAAAGGCGAGCUAGUGAAAUGCCUACAGUCCUAUGCAGAUAUAUUUGCCUGGUCUCAUGAGGACAUGCCAAAUAUUGAUUGCGGGAUAGCUUGCCACAAGCUGGCAAUCAAGAAAGGGGCAAGACUAGUGAGGCAGAAAAGGAGGUGAUUUAACCAAGAAAUGUACGAGGCCAUAAAUGCCGAGGUAGAGAAAUUGUUGAAAGCAGGAUUUAUAAGGGAGGCUAAAUACCCAGAGUGGAUUUCCAACGUAGUGUUGGUGAAGAAGGCCAACGGGAAAUGGCGAAUGUGUGUGGAUUUCACAGACCUUAAUAAGGCCUACCCGAAGGACAGUUUUCCCUUACCAAAAAUAGACCAAUUGGUGGAUUCAACGAUGGGGCAUAGUCUGCUCAGCUUCAUGGAUGCCUUCUCAAGAUACAACCAAAUAUCCAUGAACGAGCAGGACGAGAAGAGUACCACCUUUAUAACUAACAUGAGUUUGUUUUGUUACAGGGUGAUGCCUUUUGUCUUGAAAAAUACCAGAGCUACCUAUCAAAGGUUAGUGAAUAAGGUCUUCAAACCAUUAAUCGGUCACACUAUAGAGGUAUAUGUGGACGAUAUGAUCAUAAAGUUAAGAGAACCGAAGGAUCAUGUGAAGCACUUGGAAGAGACCUUCGAAUUGCUGAGGAGGUAUGAAAUGAAGCUGAACCCGGAGAAAUGUGCAUUUGGGAUCAGCUCUGGUAAAUUUUUGGGAUACCUGGUGAGCCACCGAGGGAUCGAGGCUAACCCGGAAAAAAUACGGGUGGUGAUAGAAAUGAGGUCCCCACGAACAGUUAAGGAGGUGCAGAGCCUUAUAGGGAAAUUGGCAGCAUUGAACCGAUUCAUUUCGCGAGCCACUGAUAAGUGCCACCCUUUCUUCCAAACUAUAAAGAAAGGGAGGAAUACGAAAUGGACAUCAGAAUGCGAGGAGGCAUUUGGACAGCUAAAUGAAUACCUAGCCCGCGCCCCGUUACUAUCAACUCCGAGAGAGGGUGACCAGCUGCUUUUGUACUUGGCAAUCUCUAAAUGGGUUACCAGCUCGGUCUUAGUCAGGGAAGAAGAAAGAAAGCAACAUCCGGUAUACUACACAAGCAAGGCCCUGGUAGACGCAGAAACCAGAUAUCCACUGAUGGAGAAGUGGGCGCUGGCUCUAAUAACGGCAGCACGCAAACUCCGACCAUAUUUCCAGGCCCACCAGAUUGUUAUGAUGACUGACCAGUCCCUUCGGCAAAUGCUUCAAAAACCAGAUGCAUCUGGUCGGUUAGUAAAAUAGUCCAUAGAGCUGAGCGAAUUUGACCUAUCCUAUAGGCCCCGAGGAGCAAUCAAAGUCCAAGCCCUGGCCGAUUUUAUGGUUGACCGUGCUGAAAAGGGAGAAGAGAUUCAGGAGGAACAACCAAUAGAGCAGGAGAAACCAAAGGGGGUGUGGCUGGUGAUGGUUGAUGGGUCACGUAGUGAACAGGGAUCUGGAGCAGGAGUUGUAAUACGGAGCCCAGAAGGGGUCGAGGUAUCCUAUGCAGUAAAAUUCGAGUUCCAGCUUACGAAUAACCAAGCUGAAUAUGAGGCCUUCAUUACUGGGCUCGGGCUUGCACACGCGCUACAAGCUGAAAGAGUAGAAAUCCAAGCAGAUUCCCAGCUAGUCUGCAAUCAGCUCUGCGACCAAUUCCAAGUAAGGGAAGAGAAGUUGGGGCUUUAUUUGAAGAAGGCGAAACAAAUAGUUGGACUCUUCAAAGAGGUAGAGGUAAAGUAGAUAUCCCGGAAUGAGAAUUACCGAGCAGAUAUGUUGGCUAGAAUGGCUGCAAUUGUAGAUCCAAAAUUACCUAAGUGAGUUCCACUAGAGGUGAGGACCUCGCUGAGUAUAGAGGAGGAAGUAGAGGUAAUGAGAGUAAGCACUGAAGAAUCCUGGAUGGACCCGAUUCUCGCAUACAUCCGCGAUGGCAUUUUACCGGAGGACAAAAGGCAAGCAAGAAAAUUAAAAUGCCGAGCAGCAAGGUACACGCUGGUUGAUGGGGUGCUCUACCGCUGAGAAUUCACCUUGCCCCUUUUGAGAUGUUUGGAUGAUGAAGAGGCAGAUUAUGUACUGAGGGAGAUUCAUGAAGGAAUAUGUGGUAAUCACUUGGGAGCAAGAACUUUAGCUUUCAAGGCACUCCGGCAAUGAUACUUUUGGCCAACCAUGCACCAGGAUGCGAAAAGGAUGGUAAAGAGUUGUAAAAUCUGCCAAAGCUUCUCGAGGUUCUUGCACAACCCCAAGAAAAGCUGACCACUAUGACAUCCCCAUGGCCUUUUGCUCAAUGGGGAAUCGACUUGAUUGGUCCGUUACCAAAAGGCCGAGGAGCGGCAGCACAUGCAAUUGUAGCAAUAGACUACUUCACCAAGUGGGUAGAAGUGAGAGUCCUCAGCCAAAUCACGGAGAGAAAGACGACAGAUUUUAUUUGGAAGAAUAUUAUCUGCAGAUACGGAAUCCCUUAUACCAUCAUUACAGACAAUGGGAGGCAAUUUGACAACAACAAUUUCAAAGAAUUUUGCCGGAACCUGGGGGUGGACCUGAAGUUCUGCACCCCCGCACGCCCCUAGGCAAAUGGACAAGUGGAAGCAGCCAACAAAGUAAUAAAGAAACUCCUGAAAACAAGACUGAGAGAGAAGAAGGGAGCUUGGGUCGACGAGCUACCAGGAGUACUGUGGGCUUACCGGACAACUCACAAAACUGCCACCGGGGAAACCCCGUUUGUUUUAACUUUUGGUCAUGAGGCGGUAGUCCUAGCAGAAAUUAGAGUAGGAACACAUCGGACAGAAUACUUCAAUAAAGAGCAAAACGAUGAACAGAUCUGCUUGAGCCUGGACCUGUUUGAGGAGAAAAGGGAAGGGGCCUCAUAGAAAGUGGCUCAGUGUCAGCAAAGGGUCAUGCGUUAUUACAACAAGAACGUACGCAUGAGGCAAUUCCGAGCAGGGGAUUGGGUACUUAGGAAGGUGAAUCAAAACACUAAGGAUCCUAACCAUGGCGCUCUUGGCCCGAAAUAGGAAGGCCCGUACAGGGUGAUACGAGCGACUGGACCAGGAGCUUAUAAGCUAGCGUACCCAGAUGGACGAGACGUGAAGAGGUCGUGGAACGCCGAGCACUUGAAAAAGUAUUUCUAGUAAGCAAAGUGCUCUACUAAGUCUUCAUUUUGAUAAGUUAUCUCUGUUAAAUGCAUGAUGACUUGUUACACAUGCAUAUAUUCUGUAUUUCUGUGAUGCAUUCAAAUUUCAAUAAAGAUAAAUUCGGCAUGAAAUCCCCCUACUAGCAAGGUUCACUGAGGCAAGCAAGUGCUUAAUCUUGCUCGGUCAACGAAAGGCCAGCAAGCAAUACUACAAAGUUCUACAAAGGCAAGCAAGUGCCUGUUCCUUCUCGGUCAACGAAAGACCAGCAGGCAAUUUUACGCAAUUUUCACUAAGGCUAGCAAGUGCCUAAUCUUGAUCGGUCAAUGAAAGGCCAGCAGGCAAUACUACAAAGUUCUACAAAGGCAAGCAAGCGCUUGUUCCUGCUCGGUCAACGAAAGACCAGCGGGUAAUUUUAUGGAAUUUUCACUAAGGCAAGUAAGUGCCUAAUCUUGCUCGGUCAACGAAAGGCCAGCAGGCAAUACUAUAAAUUCUACAAAGGCAAAUAAAUGCUUGAUCCUGCUCGGUCAACGAAAGACCAGCAGGUAAUUUUUACGAAAUGUUACUAAGGCAAGCAAGUGCCUAAUCCUGCUCGGUCAACGAAAGGCCAGCAGGCAAUACUACAAAGUUCUACAAAGGUAGGCAAGUGCCUGUUCCUACUCGGUCAACGAAAGACCAGCAGGCAAUUUUACAGAAUUUUCAUUAAGGCAAGUAAGUGCCUAAUCCUGCUCGGUCAACGAAAGGCCAGUAGACAAUAUUACAAAAUUCUACAAAGGCAAGUAAGUGCCUGCUCCAGUUCGGUCAACAAAAGACCAGCAAGCAACUUUACGAAAUUCUACUAAGGCAAGCGAGUGUCUAUUCCUGCUCGGUCGCCUAAAGGACCAGCAGGCAAAUCUACAAAUUUGGUUAUGACAAACAAGUGCCUAUUUCUACUCGGUCGAUUAAAGGACUAGCAGGCAAAGCUAACUAAAAGCGUUAAGAAAAUUUACAAAAAUGAUCUAUAAGCAAAACCACAACAGAAGAACCAAUAGAAAGCAUCUAGAAUUUAUGCUCAAAAUGUUUACAAAGCAGAUGAAAAUUUAGAGUUUCUACAAAAAUAGACCUAAAAAUUAGGAGGGUCGACGGCUUCAGUAGUUGAAGGAUCAGUAAUCUCGGGAGGUGAAGGAUCAGCAAUCUCGGGAGGUGGAAGAUCAGCAACACCGGGAAGAGGAGGCAUGGACCAUUGACCCACUUCAAAAACACGAUCCCCGACUUCCCCCUCAUGCACCCCAUCUAAAGGAGCCUCUACCUGAUCUCUGCACUCCAGCCUCUAGCUUGCUCAUGUCCAGCUCGGGAUAUUCUUCCUCAAGCACAGACAUGAUGCACUUAUAGCAGAAAGCAACCCCAGAGUCAUACUCUGCAUCCAGCCGAUCGUCCACAUCAACAUAUUUGCCUUUCGGCUCAGCCAACUGCUCAUUUAGGGAUUUGAUUUCUCCCUCAAGGGCGGUCCUCAAAGUAUCUCUUUCACUUUAAGUAGCCUGAAGAUCAGACUUCAGGUCACCCAACUCACCGUCAAGUUUGGAGGAGGUGGACUCAGCAACAACAACUUUCUCUUCCAGGUCCGUGAUCUGCUUGUUCAGCUCAGCCAGCAUCUCCUUUGAGCGAUCAGCAGAUUAAACCUUUUUCUUCAAAUCCUGAUUGUCAGCUUGAAGCCUCCUCUCAUGACGCGUGGCCCUGUUCUUAUAACAAGAAACUAUAGUGGCCAGCUUGAAGGAGACCCUCUGGACAGAACCAGCCAACUCACUGAGAUCCAUGCUCUCAAUGUCGUUGACCAUUUUCGGUCCCACUGACUUCCCAUAGUCUCUUUGGUACAGAGUCAGAUAGUCGCCUUGAUCCCGAGGCGGAAGAGGAGAGGAUCGGCCUUCAGAGUGAGUGCUGACCUCAGGACUCUUGUCGGAAGCUUUCUCCCCACCACUCUUACAAGGUAGAGGAGGGGGCAGCGUAGGAACAGGAGCCUUGGAAGGACCGACGCUGGUUUUCUUUGGAGGAGGAAGAGGGUUGCUGGAGUUGCUUGGAACCCGACCAUGCUUUCUAGUCAUAGCGCUAAGGAUCUUGUUAUCCAUUCCAGCAGUUAUGUCCACUAAACCCAAACCGACCAGGUUUGUUGGUGACAGGAGGUCUUGGCAGGUGGACGCGUUCACCAGAGCAGUUUCCACUUGAAGCAAAGGUCGGUCUUCAAGUUCCUUAAUCAAACCCUACGAUUCUGAAAGAGCAAACAAAGUUAAAGAACCCAAUAAAUGACAAUUUGAGAAAGAGUAUAGGCAAAAAAUGAACGACCUGAGGUGACAAAAUGCGUUGGAAGGUAAAUAUCACCACCCAACGAACUAGCUAUUGGACACCAACUUCCCCUAGUAAAGAAGAAUUUAUUCUUCUAAUUUUUGCAUGAAGAGGGGAAGCCGGUGAUUGGCUUCCUCUUCGCAGAGCUCGACAUGAAAUAAUACCAGCCUGCUUUCUUCGGCCUACUCCUCAGCUGGUAUAGAUGCUUUACUUCAACAAGGGAGGGCUCCUCUGAUCCACACCUAUCCCAUAACACAUACAUAGCUGAGAGAACCAUCCACCCGUUGGGAUGUAGCUGACCUGGGGCCAGGUGCAUACCACCCAGUAUCUUAGCAAAAUAACGCUGAAGGGGUAGUCGAGCUCCUAAUUUGAAACUCUCCAGGUGCAUCGUCACAUACCCCGGCGGAGGCCAACUCGGAACAUCACAUUUCCCAGGAACUAUAAGGAGAACCUCCUCAGGAAUGUUGUAGAGGUUCUUGAGCUUGAAUAGAUAAGUUUGUGUGGUGGCACAAGCUUUGUAGUCAAUAGGGUAAGAAUCCGCCUCUACCCUAUGGCCAAGGUUCCUUUUCUUAGGGUGCCCGCCCGGCUCGGAACUGCUUCCCUCACCAUUACCCACUUCUUCGGGGACCCCAACCCCACCAGAACUGUGGUUCUCACCAGAGUGCGACGCAGGUCCACUUCUAUUCCCUACAAGCUCUAGUUUAGGGGAGGGAGAAGUAGCCAAGGGACGUGGGUACUCAAGGGUAUCCCUACCAUGGGAGGGGCCUAUACUACAAGAGGGACGUAAAAAAUCAGUGGGUAUUGAUAAGUUAAGGUCUGAAUCCCCUGUUUCUUCAUUACUCACAUCAGCAAUUAACUUCCUUUUCCGAUUUGACAUAUCGAAAUCUCAAAAGAAAACAAAGCAAACCCGAGUAUACGGGUACAAAAGAGAAACAAUGAACCCAAUCAACAACAACCAAAGAAGGGGUUAAAGGCUAUACCUAGAAUAGACUGGCACUGGUAAGUGUUACUGUGAUAAAGGAAAAGACCCAGUAAAUGGAGAUUCCAGACGCAGAAAAAUAUGAACGAAGUUCGUAGGAGUUGUCUCACGGCAAAGAAGCGAAUAAGCAAAACGAAAGUAACUUUAGUUUAGGGAUUUGAAACGAAAAAGAGGAAAUGGAAGCGUUUGAGUGAUAGGAGUGACAGCUCAUCCACCGUAUAUCGAGGAUGGAUAGCCCGUCGUUUCAAAUUUCAAAUACGAAGAGUCUGGAGAUGCCACGUCACUAACCGUUAUAAGAGGCCAGACGAAACGCAAGCCUAGAUAUGCAAUGGACAUGCUCAUAAAGCCCCAUGUUCAGGUCGGAAUCUCCUCUGACAAGAGAGGGAACCUCAGGUCCAUACCAGUAAACAGAAGACCAGAUGGGAAGUUCCCCGGGCCGGUAAGAUUCGAUUAUCAGUUUUCAUUCUCAGCUCGUUUCACUUGCAAGACCAGAAACUGGGGGACUGGUGUUAGGUAAAUAAGAGCACCAGCUCGGCCAUUGUUAGAGUGCAAUUUAUGCACUAGUUUUGCAUUGUUUACUUCCCUUAAUAUCGAUGUUUUGCACUUAAUAAUAAUGAUUUACUUGUGUUUUACUUUUGUAGGUGCAAUUCUAUUGAUUUGUGAUAAAAUUGAGCUAUAAUAUUAUGUUUAAAGAUGAUUGUUCUCUUGGAGAAAUUUAGAGUGUCAGAAAAACUUUAUUGAUAAGGCGUGGGCGCAUGCUGUCAACUGCGGACCUGCAGUUUUUAGUUUAACGUGUUUUGUAUUUUUGGUUAUUUUUGUAAUUAUGAAUUUAAUAUUUCAGAUAUUAGUAUUUUAUUUUAAAUAGAACUCUAAAAGAGAAGAGAGAGAGAGUAUUUAAGGGAGGAAUCUAUUGUGAAAAAUGGGGGUUUUGGAUUGGAGAAAAAGAAAGAAACCCUAGAUCUAAUUUUUCUCUUUUCUUUAUGAAGAACUAAACUUAUUUUUCUGGUUGAAGGUUAAUGAAGCUUUGAUUCAUCACUACUGUGAGAUCUUUCUUAUGCUUUUAUUGUUUUAUUACUUUUUGGGUAUUUGUUUAUUCUCUGAAUUAGUUUCAUGAUUAUGUUUGUUAAUUAGGUAAUUGGCCACUAUUUAAUUAUCAACUUAAUCUAUUGUCAAUUAAAGGAUUUAUCGUAUGAAGAUUUUAAUAUUUGUGACAAAUAACAUAGCAGUGAGUUGUGUUAUGAGAGUAAACAAUCUAAUUUAAAUGAAUCAUCAUAUGUGUUGAUUAGGAUUUGGGUCUCUCUGGUUUUUCAAGCUGUCAAUUGAUUAAAUCAUAUGAUCGUAUCUAGGGUUGUCUAUUGAUUAGGGAAAUAUCCAACGGUCGUACCUUGGUUAUCGACUAGUUAAGGAGAGAUUGGCUAUUAGAGGGUCUCAAUAGUUAUAACCGGUCUAUUCAUAAGUAAUAAUAAUCUAUAUUUGAAUCAAUGAUCAGUAGUCGAAUCAAGCUGAGUUAAUUCCUUCAACCAGAGCUUUCUCCAAUUUGAAUUACAGCUUUAAUUUGUAUUCUUGUUAUUUUAAUUUAAUUUUUAUUAUUGUCAACAAUUCCUCCAUUUUACGUUUUACAUUUCAAAAGGAUUUAAAUAAUUAUCGAUCUCUGUGGACACGACCCUGCUCAAUCACUACACACAAUUUAUUUAGAGUAGGAAUUUAUUUUUGUUAGCUUCGACAACCAUCAAAUUUUGGCGCUGUUGUCGGGGAUUGGCGUCAUUUAUUUAAUUCUUUUUUACGUUUUACUUGGUGUAUGGUUCGUUCUUCUCGUACAGGUACACUUUCGUUUGAUCUUGAAAUUAAGAAGACAGCUCGCCAGCUGAGACAGCAGACGAAGCGAGCUAAGCAACGAUCCUCGUCGCCUUUGCUUUCUGAAACAGAUACAGUGCCUUAUUUAGUUGAAUCAUCUAACGAUUCAGAAGAACAAGUGAUGGAUAGAGCUGCACCUGUAGAAAGAACUCUUAGAGAGUUAGCUGAACCAGACUUGAAUCAGUAACCACUCUGCAUUCAAUAUGUAGACUUGGAGGUAAAUUUUGAAUUAAAGUCUGGUCUUAUUCAUUUAUUCCCAAGUUUCAUGGUUUUGCAGGUGAAGAUCCUCAUAAACAUCUUAAGGAGUUUCAUGUUGUGUGUUCAAGUAUGAGACCACAAGGUGUGACUGAAAAGCAGAUUAAGCUGCGUGCUUUUUCAUUCUCUUUAGAUGGGUUAGCUAAAGAUUGGUUGUACUACUUGCCUCCUGGAUCAAUUACAAUGUGGAAUGGUUUGAAGAAGCAGUUCCUCGAGAAGUAUUUUCCUACUUCAAGAGCUGCCAACAUCAGAAAAGAUAUUUGUGGGAUCAGACAACUUUCUAGAGAGACUUUGUAUGAGUAUUGGGAGCGAUUCAAACAAUUGUGUGCCAGUUGUCCUCAGCAUUAGAUUUCUGAUCAACUUCUUAUUCAAUAUUUUUACGAAGGACUAUCAUUGAUGGAUAGGAGAAUGAUAGAUGCUGCUAGUGGAGGCAUGUUGGUGAACAAGACCCCUACUCAAGGAAGGGAGUUGAUAUCAAAUAUGGCUGCCAACACACAACAAUUUGGCAGCAGGCAAGAUCCUACUUCAAGGAAGGUGAAUGAGGUAAAUAUUUCUUCUGUUGAACAACGUUUAUAUAAACUUACUUCUCUUGUGGAAAAGUUUGUUGUAGGUAAUGUGCAACAGGUGAAGACUUGUGGCAUUUGUUACAAUAUAGGUCAUUCAACCGAUAUGUGUCCUACACUUCAAGAAGAACCCAUUGAACAAGCCAAUGCAGUUGGAGGAUUUCCAGGCAUGCCUCAGAGGAGGUAUGAUCCUUAUGCACAAACAUACAAUCCGGGAUGGAAUGAUCAUCCCAACUUCAGCUAUGGAGUUAAGCCGUCAAGAUUCCCACAACAGUAUCCACCAAGACAACCAGCACCUCCACAGUCAAACUCCAAGUCAGGUAUAUCUCUUGAAAAAAUUGUUAAAUCACUUGCGACUAACACUCAACAAUUUCAGCAAGCAACUACAGCAAGCAUUCAAAAUUUGGAGAACCAAAUGAGUCAAUUGGCGACUACAGUGAGCCGUCUGGAGUCUCAAGUAUUAGGGAGAUUGCCUUCACAAUCUGAGAUGAAUCCAAAGAAAAAUGUUAGUGUUGUCAUCCUUAGAAGUGGGAAGGAGUUGCAAGAGCCUAGUAAGAAAGUGAUAAAGCAUGUAGAAGAUGAGCUUGAGAAGAAUGAAUUGAUGCCUAAAUCUCAAGAUGCGCAACCCACUAGAGCGAAACCCCUACCUAUUGUGAUACCUCAUUCUUUUCCAAGCCGGUUUGCAAAAUCCAAGAAAGAGGAACAAGAGAAAGACAUCCUUGAGACAUUUCGCAAGGUUGAGGUAAAUAUUCCUUUAUUAGAUGCUAUAAAACAAAUACCUCGAUAUGCUAAAGUCCUUAAGGAACUGUGCACCUCCAAGAGAAAAUUAAGAGGAGAUGAAAAAGUUCACAUGUGGGAGAAUUUUCAGCAGUUCUCCAAAAGAAACUACCUCUUAAGUGCAAGGAUCCAGGUAUGUUUACUAUCCCUUGUAAAAUUGGUAGUGUUAGAAUUGAAAAGGCUUUGUUAGAUCUAUGAGCUUCUAUUAAUGUCAUGCCUCGUUCCAUUUAUUCAUCUUUAAAUGUUGGUCCAUUAAAAGAAACUGGCGUGAUAAUUCAACUAGCUGAUAGGUCUAAUGCAUAUCCUGAUGGGGUAUUAGAAGAUGUCUUAGUACAAGUUAAUGAGUUGGUUUUUCCUGCUGAUUUUUAUGUACUUGAUAUGAAAUAGGAUAACUCCUCUAAUUAUGUCCCAAUUUUGCUAGGAAGACUUUUUCUUAAGACUGCUAGGACUAAAAUGGAUGUACAUAAAGGAACUCUCACUAUGGAGUUUGAUGGAGAGGUUAUAGAAUUCAAUAUGAAUGAUGCCAUAAAAUAUCCUAGUGAGGAACAUUCGGUAUUUUCUGUGGAUGUUAUUAACCCUAUAGCGCAGGAAGUUUUUUACAAGGAAAAGACGAAGACAUUUCAUGAUAGAAUGAUUUUGAGAAAAGAGUUCUCUAUUGGUCAAAAAGUUCUUCUUUUUCAUUUUAAACUUAAACUUUUUCCGGGUAAAUUACGUUCUUACUGGGUUGGACCUUUUAUUAUUACUAAUGUUUUUCCUCAUGGUGCAGUAGAGAUUCGGAGUCUGACCUCUGACAAAGUUUUUAAAGUUAAUGGUCAUUGCUUAAAAUCUUUUUAUGAAGAUUUUUUAGUGAAUAUUGUGGAGGAUGUGGCUCUCGAGAGUCCCAAUUAUGGAGAUUGAUGCAUAAAUGUGUCUAGCCAAAGACAUAAAACAAAGGCGCUUUUUGAGAGGCAACCCAAAUGAUUUAUUUAUUUUGGUUUUUGUUAUUUCUUCUUUUAAUUUUGAUUUAGAUUUUUUUUAAAUAAUGUGUUUGCUAAUAAGUACUUCUGUGAUUUUUAAAGUAAAAUGGUUUUAAGGCGUGCCCACGUGCUUAUUAGAAAAGUACUUCUGAAAUUUUUAGUGUCUCAAGUGAUUCAUCACUAAAAAAAAAAAUCGUUUUCUUUCCUAGCAACCAGCCGCUCCAGCCUUCACCAGAGCAACAGUUGCGUUCACCGAGCAGCCAUGCACGCCCAGCAACCCACGCAUCUCAGCAUCUCCCAUAGCAGCAGCCCGUGCGCAACAAUCCCACCAUUUCCGCCAAGCCCAUAGACGUUAUGAGGAUCAAAGCUCACAAUUCAGGGAAGUUAUUGCCUUUAAUCUUUUAUCCUUACGCUUUAAUUUUUAUGUGAGCUUUGAUUAUCUUACAUUGGGGACAAUGUAAUUUCUUUUGUGUGGGGGAGAGAUUUUUGCAUUAUUGAUGUCUGGAAUUAUUAUUUUCACUCUACUCAUCUAUUUUCACUCUACUCAUCCUUAAAUGAUUUUAGAGUUAGUAUGCUUCAUAUAUUAUUAAUUUUCUUUUCCUUUCUCUCUCACUACUCUUUUCCCAUAUAUCUCAAAUUAUUUACAUUUAUUUUUUUUCUAUCAUACUCUUUCAUCACUCACAUUUUAUCUUUCAUUUUUUUACUACAUACAUCUUUCUCGCUUAUUAUCCUUUUUACCUUUCCUUUCAUAUCUCAAUCAUACCUUCUUCUCAUUAUACACCACUAUUGAUGGUUGAUUCAUUUGAAGAGUGUACAUGAUUUGAUGGCAAAUUUACCAACUUUGUGAAGAUUUGAGCCUAUGAGCAACCACUUUGCUCUAAUUAUUUUUGUUAUGUGAAUAUCAAUCCUAGUUUGUUUAUUCUAGAACUUGCUUUGUUAUGCAUGUUGAAGCCACAUUACGGGAUUUUAUGCAUUAAAAUGAUAAAGGCAAACCAUUUACCAUUUUUCUAUUCUCCAUUUUCCUUUUUCUCUACCCGAAGACCUUUAUUUGAGGCUUAACCAUUACCCAUCUAAUUCUCUCCGUCUACUUAACCAUUUUUAUUCUUUUUGAGCCUCAAUUUAAGGAGAUUUUUAGACUCAUUGUGUAGAUAUAUUUUGUUACUUUUUCUACCUUGUAUUAAAAUUUCUCAAUUAGAUCAACAAGCAUUAUGCUUGAAUAAAAUUGUGCAAGGUUCGUUUCUUUUGUUUGAUUAAAAAAAACAAAAACAAAAACAAAAAAAAGAAAAAAGAAAAGAAAAAUAAAAAUCGAAAAAAAAGAGAAAAAUUUUACAUUCUUGGUGACUUGAGUAGAAAUAAGCAUUUUGAUAUCAUAAGUUCAUUCAAUGAGUUCAUUCUUCUCAUUUUGAUCUCUUUUUCUUUCAUAGACUUUUCUUUUUCAUUUAACCUAUUUAACUCCGUUACAACCAUUUUAAGACCCUUAGAUUUUUGCAUUUAAUUCAUGUUUUGUGGAUUGAGAUGUGAUAUAUGAGCAAGCUUAUGGUAAUAGCAUUCUUUGAUUUGAUUUGAGUGCAUAAAUGACACCCUAAACACUUUGAGUGCAUGGAGUGAAGUUAUUGAGAGGGCUAUUAAAUGUUGUUGCACUUGAAUUUUGAAUGGAUCUUCUUAGUGGUUGAAUGUUCUUAUUCUAUCUUAUGAAAUUCUAUGCUUUAAAAUACUUGUCUCUCGAAUGUUGAACGACUUAAUUUCUUGAGGUUUACUUGCUUAAAAUUGCUUUUGCAUGAGUUGAGAUGAGAAUUGAGUGGAGAUUUGGGAUUAGUCUUGAGUUAUAUGCUUGAGGACAAGCAUCAUCUUGGUGUGGGGGAAUUUGUUAGAGUGCAAUUUAUGCACUAGUUUUGCAUUGUUUACUUCCCUUAAUAUCAAUGUUUUACACUUAAUAAUAAUGAUUUACUUGUGUUUUACUUUUGUAGGUGCAAUUCUAUUGAUUUGUGAUAAAAUUGAGCUAUAAGAUUAUGUUUAAAGAUGAUUGUUCUCUUGGAGAAAUUUAGAGCGUCAGAAGAACUUUAUUGAUAAGGCGUGGGCGCGUGCUGUCAACUGCGGACCUGCAGUUUUUAGUUUAACGUGUUUUGUAUUUUUAGUUAUUUUUGUAAUUAUGAAUUUAAUAUUUCAGAUAUUAGUAUUUUAUUUUAAAUAGAACUCUAAAAGAGAAGAGAGAGAGAGUAUUUAAGGGAGGAAUCUAUUGUGAAAAAUGGAGGUUUUGGAUUGGAGAAAAAGAAAGAAAUCCUAGAUCUAAUUUUUCUCUUCUCUUUAUGAAGAACUAAACUUAUUUUUCUGGUUGAAGGUUAAUGAAGCUUUGAUUCAUCACUACUGUGAGAUCUUUCUUAUGCUUUAAUUGUUUUAUUACUUUUUGGGUAUUUGUUUAUUCUCUGAAUUAGUUUCAUGAUUAUGUUUGCUAAUUAGGUAAUUGGCCACUAUUUAAUUAUCAACUUAAUCUAUUGUCAAUUAAAGGAUUUAUCGUAUGAAGAUUUUAAUGUUUGUGACAAAUAACAUAGUAGUGAGUUGUGUUAUGAGAGUAAACAAUCUAAUUUAAAUGAAUCAUCAUAUGUGUUGAUUAGGAUUUGGGUCUCUCUGGUUUUUCAGGUUGUCAAUUGAUUAAAUCUUAUGAUCGUAUCUAGGGUUGUCUAUUGAUUAAGGAAAUAUCCAACGGCCGUACCUUGGUUAUCGACUAGUUGAGGAGAGAUUGGCUAUUAGAGGGUCUCAAUAGUUAUAACUGGUCUAUUCAUAAGUAAAAAUAAUAUAUAUUUGAAUCAAUGAUCAGUAGUCGAAUCAAGCUGAGUUAAUUCCUUCAACCAGAGCUUUCUCCAAUUUGAAUUACAACUUUAAUUUGCAUUCUUGUUAUUUUAAUUUGAUUUUUAUUAUUGUCAACAAUUCCCCCAUUUUACGUUUUACAUUUCAAAAGAAUUUAAAUAAUUACCGAUCUCUGUGGACACGACCCUGCUCAAUCACUAUACACAAUUUAUUUAGAAUAGGAAUUUAUUUUUAUUGGCUUCGACAACCAUCAGCCAUGCCAUCAUCCCCACGCCGGGGUGGACCACCUCAGCCGAGUGGUGCGAGCAGAACACUGAUAAUGAGCCUUCUACAAACAUGGGCCGACCAAAGACGAGUACCGGUUAGAGGAAUAUACCGACCAGAGACAUAUACCGAGCCGAUACCCAUCCCCCAAAGAGCGGGAACACGAUCUCACAGAAUCACGAUAGUUGCGCUUUUCCCAGAACCGUUGAGGGAGACGCGAGAUCCCACGUUUGCCCACAAUGUAGCAGUUAGAGCCCCAUGAGGGGCUGCCACUACCCGAAAAAGGGGGGAUGAAGGGUGAAUGAAAACGUGGGACAUCGACUAUAAAAGAGGAAGAAAUCAAUGAAGAAGAGGGGGGAAAAUUAAGAGAAUGGAAAACUCUACCAAAUUGAAACCAGACCAUUUUCAAUACAAAAUUGUGAGCUCAUUAUAAGCAAUUUAUCGAAUCUUAAUUGCACGGUUUUCCCGUAAACACCUUGUGCUAACUUAGGCAUUGGAGGGUUUACGCCGGCAAAACCACCGGCGUCUCUAAUCCUUUUUUUGUGAACGCAAGCUUAGUGGGAGAAGGAAGGAUAAUUCCAACUUCAGUGACUAGAGCGAUCGUCGAAGUAAGAAGAAAUUGACAUCCUUACUGUUGAUAACAUAAACGUUGGUGUAAAGGUCUGGUUGGAAAAAGGACGAGCAGAUUUCAGCAUCAACACACACAAUACCAAUAAAUCUAACAACAAACUCGUAAGAAUGAAAUUAAUUUUAUUUUCCUGUAAGAAUAAAAUUUAAUUAAAAAAUUCAAAGAAUUGCCAAUCGUUUUCUUAGAGUUUAAAAGUAAUAUUGACUACUGAAUUUAUCCACAAAUUUUUAAAUUAUGAUUUUUUUGGGUUGGUUCAUAGACAAGGACAUUAUUGUAAUUUUAAAUCUCAUAAAUAAAAGAUCUAAAAUUCUAUGAAAAAAUAUACUCUUUUUUAUUAGCUUAUAUUUCUUAGAAAGUGCUCCCAAAUUAUACAUAUAUAUAUUUUAAAAAAAGUAUUAUUUUAAAAUUUUCUAAUGUUUCUCCUAAUUUGCUCUGUUAUAAUUGUCAUGAUGAUACAAAAUCAGGAUAAUCAAACAAACAAACAUUAGUUAGCCCUAGUUAUCAAUAGAAGAAACGAUAUUAAAUAAAAUUGUCAUUUUCAACAAAGAAUAAUAAUAAAUAUAUGAUAAAAAAAGAAUAAUUAUAUCACUCUAACCGAUAUUUACGGGAAAAAAAAAAAUCUCACAGGAUACGUAUUGCGGUGAAACCUUUGUUAUUUGUGUGUGAAUAUUUGGCGGCAACUAUUAAGGCAAAAGCUAAUCCAAUAUUAAGACAAAUAAAUAAUUAUUUAAAGGUAACAUUUACAAAUUCACGAGUUUUUUUUAUAUUUUUUUUAUCAAAGGAUGUUUAUUAAUUACAAAUGAGAAGAACUUGGAAAAACAAUAUAUUUAAAUACAAAUAAACUUUAAUAAGUCUCUUUGACGCAAUGCAUUAUUUAAUUAUUUAAUUUGUUUUCAUCUACUUUGGUGCUCAAAUCAAUUGAGAGAUUCAUUCUGGAACCAACUUUUGGCCAUGGCUACUCGUCCUGCAAAAAUAGAACAAAUUGCAGAAACAUUACUGGACUGAAACUGCUACAGAGCAUGAUCAGAGAUAUGAGGAUGAGCACACUUGAUUAUCUUCUAGCUGACGUGUAACAGUUAGUUUGCUGAGUCAGCAUUAUUGCUUUUUUUUUAAUUAAUAAAGGGCUCUAAAUAGAGCUAAGGCAAUACUAAACGGGAGUGUGCAACUCCAGAAACAUCAUUGUUUAAAAUGUUAAGCAAAUUUAAAGGAGUAGACUGAAAAUAAUGCAGACCCACAGGAAAAGCUAAACUAUAGGUAGCAAGAAAGUCUGCUGCUGCAUUUGCUUCCCGAUAAAUAUGAUUCAUUUGAAUCAACCAAUCUCGUCCGAUUAGCUCUUGGAUGGCUGUGAUUAGAGAAAGAUGCUCAUUGAUGGUGGGGUUCGAAUGAGAGACUAGCUGCAAGAUGCACCUGCUGUCCACUUCCACUAUCACCCUACGAUAACCAUGAAGCCAAGCUAUGGAUAACCCAUGAAAUAAACCCCACAACUCAGCAGAUGUUACUGAGCAAAAGCCUAAGUUAGCACAAUAUCCGAUCUCCCAAACUCCUCUGUAAUCACGAAUGAGUCCGCCAGCUCCUGCAUGGUCUGAAUGCUUCUUGGCACCAUCAGUGUUCAACUUAACCCAAGGCCAAGUAGGAGCACCCCAGCGAAUCCAUUUUUCGACACGGCUCUUGUCAGUGGCGGUAAGGGAGUCAGCAUUAUUGUUAACAAACUCAUUAAGCAUGUAUAGGCGUUAUAACAAACUCUAGUCAGCUUCUUUACAAUGUAUAAAUCCUGAGCUUAAAACAUUUUUGUAUAAUACAAUUUUAAUUCUAAUAAAUUCCAGAUUGAUUCUUCUUCAUAUCUUUUCUUCAUUUUCUCGUUGAUUUUCUUACUUACCAAACACACAUUUACAUAAUCUUCGAGAAACCAUGCAGCAAAAUUGACAUGGAAGGAAUUUAAUAGAGAAAGAGAUAUGGGCAUUGAAAGUUACCUGAGAUGAGUUGCUGCAUUAUUUAUAUUCUAGAACCCUACAAACUUACAGAAAGGAUUGAGGACAUCUUUAGAAUUGGCUUGAUCCCACUCCAAUGAUUCCCAUAAUUCUUUCUUUAUCUCAAUAACUUUGAGCGCAGGGGGUGGAGAUGGUUGCCCGUUAUCAAGCAGAGAAAGCGAAAGAGAAAGCCGCUUCAAUUUGGGGCAGCCGCGUACUUCAAUUUCUUGGAGAGAAUUACAAACCAAUACCCCAUUAUCACUGCAGAAGCUCUUAAAUUCUAGCAAGUUAGAAAAACGCAACUUCUUCAAUCUAGGAAGUGUAAUGAUGGUAUUUGUUGCUAAUUCUUUCUCAGUUUCUUCAUCCUCGACCGCUGCUAUCUCCUCGAUUGAAUCGCACUCUAUGACUUCGAGAUCUUCCAAGUUUUGAAGGGCAGGCAAUAACCGAAGCGAGAACAAAUUUUUUAAAUUAGGACAACGACCAAAUGAAAGAACUUUAAGAUCAUGUGAAAACUUGCCAAUGUUAACUAAUCCUUGUUCCCUUGGUAAAACAUCAUUUAAGCUUGCAACGUCGUCGACCCAAUACAUAUCUAAACAUUGAACAUCUUCUGGGAGCACAAUGGGUUCUUCUCUUUCACAGAUUUUGCAACCUUCUAAGAAUACUGAUUUAUCUACUUUGAGAUCAGUAAUCAGAAAUCUCCCCAUGCCAAAUGCCGACAGCAGAAGACAAUAAUUUUUCGAUCCUCGACCAUCUGUAGAUUUAACAUAUAUGUUGAAAUCUUUGAGUGUAGAAAAAUGGCCUUCAAAAGUGUCCAAUCUAUCGCUCAAUCUAGCUGCCUCUUCCACUGUUUCUCGUAAAGCUUCAUUCCCAAAAGAUAAUUUCAAUUUGUAGAGAUUACGUAGUCUAGGUAAUAUACCAGUCGGGAACUUCUUCAGCGGCGGUGAAGAGAAAUAAAGAUGACUAAGGUUUUCCAACAUUUCCAUACCUUCUGGGACUUCUUCAAUCGAUGUUACUUCGAGGUCCAAGUACUGGAGAGCCAACAGCUUUGCCAAAGAAGGAACUCGCUCUAAGUUUUCACACCAUCGAAGCAACAACGAUCUUAGAUUCAUCAAGUCAGAGACGGAACUUGGCAAGACUUCAAUGUUGGUGCGAGAAAGAUUGAGAACCUUCAAACCAUGCAUGUGCACAAAGAAACAUUCAGGAAUCCUCUGUAAAUGUUCAUUGCAUUGUAGCAACAAAGUUGAAAGAAUGUCACAAUGUGGUGACAUAUUUGAAGGGAUCUCCUCGAAGUCAUUCUCCAUCAGUGAAACUCUCUCGAGAUUCGCUUUCCAUUCUUGUUCACCUGGAAAUUCCCGUAAACGUUCUCUAGCUUUCACCAUGAAUAAAGGACUCUCGCUUGUAAUGCGCAACGCCAUGUCUCUUAUAAGAUCAUGCAUCUUCACACAACUACCAUCUUCAGCGCUCUCCAAUAAGCAGCAAUUUACAAGCCUGUUCAAUAUAGUAUGCCCUCUAUUAUAUUUUACUCGCACAUCCUUCACUUCUUCGAUAAACCCUUCUGCAAUCCAGUGAUCUAUCAGCUCAUCCUUUGGGAUGGCAAAGUCUUCAGGAUACAGUGCACAAUACAAGAAGCACUGUUGGAGCUUUUCAUCUUUCAAGCGAUGGUAACUGAAUUCUAAUCGCCCUAACACUUUAGUAUCUACGUCAUUCAAACUUCUCAGCCGUCCACGCAAUUCAUUGAGCGCAUUUUGCCAUUCAUAAAUUUCUUCUUCACCGCUCAUGGAAGCAGCUACAGUUACAAUUGCCAGCGGUAAACAACCACAUUCCUCAACAACGUCGUUUAUGAUUUCUUUAUUCAAAGCUGGAACUUGCAAAAUGCUGCAGCCAACUCCGUCUAUAAACAAAUUAAAUGCCUCCUGUUUAGAAAGCAAUUCAACUGCGACUUGUUUACACUUCAUAGAACGACAGACCCUAUGUGAACGUGUGGUUAUCACCAAUUUGCAUCCGUUCUCUUCACUAGGCUCAGGGAUUCCUACUUCCUCGAGAGGGAAUGCUUCCCACAUAUCAUCUAGUAUCAACACAAACUUCUCUUUAGCUUUCAACAUUCCUAGCAACCUCCCUGCACGUCUUACUUUAUCUUCAUUUUCUGAAAGACUUUGUUUCAAUGCAGUCGCAAUCUCAGUUUGCAGUUUAAUAAGAUCAAGUGGUUGAGACACGGUGACCCAAAUCACAACAUUGAACUUAUUAGUUUCUUUCUGGAGUCUGUUGUUAAUUUCUUUCAUGAUAGUUGUUUUACCAAUACCGCCCAUACCCCAAACUCCUAUCUUUGUGACCUUAUCACCCAUCAAAUCCUCCCAAAUUCUUUCCACAACUUUCUUCGUCUUUUCGCCUGCUAAUGUUGCCGUGGUCAACGUCAAUCCUCUGGAUGGGGGUGCAUCAAUCACCAAACUAGUGAAAGAACGACCCUUUUGAUGAUACUCGUUCACUUCUUCAAUCUUCUCCUCAGCAUGUUUCCCCAAACGCGCACGUGAGAAAUAUUUUCCUUUCUUCACAUCCUCCUCAAUACUAUGUGCUUCCCUGUUGAUCCUUUCUACGUUUUCCAACCAAUCAUUGACUUCAUUUCUUGGUUGUUUGUUCCCCAGAUCACACUCUGCCUUCAAUGUUGCUUCUAUAUCUGCUUUCUUGCUAUUUAACUCCUGUAAUACUCUUUCAAGUUUUUUCAUUAUUUCACUGAGCUUUCGGUGGCGGUGAACAUAUUGGCAUAUCGGUGGCCCCACACACUUAAAAAAUUCAAGGAUUGUUCCUAUAAAAUCCAUAGGCAGGUCCUACAAGUAUAUCACUAUAACAUUAGUGUAUAUGAUUUCUUCUGGAGCAAUUUCAUUUAUCAAAAUUGCAUCAAAUUUUGGGAUAAAAUGUUAAACCUACCGGAAUAAAGAUCAUAAUAUAAUUUCUUUGAACUAAUUCGUCAAGUUUUAAAUUUUAUUUUUGUGGCUUUAGAUUAGCUUUAAAUUUUCCUUCAACUACGAAACUAUACUUUUUUUUUUCAAGCAAAUAAUGCCUCACUUUUUUUUUUCUUUUCCUUCUCUUUUGUACAUAAUUGUAAUUUUCCUUCCAUACGGUUUAUGUACGAACCCUAUGUCUAUUUUUUUUUUUUUUUCAAUCAUGAACUAUAACCGUUAAACUCAUGUUUUCUAAUUUUUAAGUGAUCAAGUUUUCUACUCUAAGCAAGUGAAUUGUUGAAUUAAAGAAAAAUACUGCAGUGCCCUUAAUUAUAAAUUACAUUAUGGAAAUUCUGGUGCUUAAAAUUUUUAUUAAAACAUGGUUAUUCAACAUACUUUUUAUGGUGCAAAGAAUCCCGUAGUGUAGUUUAAAAAGAUAAAGUUAUUUGUACUUUUAGUAAUUUUAUAUCUAUUCAGGACUGAUGAAAUAAGAUUUGGGAUUCAAUAUUAUCACUCAAAUUUUAAUUUAUUCCUUUAUUAUUUUUCAAAUUUGGCAGUAGCCCCUAUGACGCUGGGUAUGAUAUGAGCUAAACAACUCAAGCAUUUAACUCAAGAACCGGAUUUGACAAAUUUCCAUGGUAUUUUUGCCAACUCUUGAUUCUUUGGGAAAACCGCAGAUUUAAAGACAUUUGUUAAAACUAAUGGUCGAAUUCUAUUUUGUUUUUUUCAUCUUAAUCUAGGAUACUCAUUUUUUGCUUCUUCUUCUUCUUCUUUUUUUACAAUUUUUCUUCUUUUAAUUUUAGUAUUUUAUUUUCAUCUUACUCUUUCGAGAUUUUUCAUUAUUUUCAGUCAAUUUUCAGUAGUUUUAUUUAUUCUUGCUACAGUACGGUUUGUCAUAAAUUAGAAUUCUAACCAAAUAAAUCAGUCCAAAAAUCUAAACUUUUCUUCCUUUAACUUUUAGUCUUUUAUUUUAUUAGUCCGUCAGUUUGAUUUUAUUUUUUUAUUUUUGUCUCCUCUAAGUGGUUUUCAUUUUUUUUAAUUUCGGUUCAAAUUUGUUAUUAAUUAAAAGGAACAAAUCGGUUCUUAAAUAGCUAAACCGACACAAACCCAUUACUGCAUAAUAAUAAUAAUAAUAAUAAUAAUCAAAAUCCGACCAUUAGAUGGCAUAAAUCAAUAAAUGAAAAUUUGCAUCUCAAUUUAAGAUGCCAGAAGAACUAUUAGACUUUAGUGAUGAAACAAUAUUGCAAUAUGAUUUAAAUGAAAAGAUAAGUUACCUGAAUCAACUGGUUGUUGUUCGUAGCUUCCUCAAAUGUUUGUUAAUUAGGAAGGAAGAAACCAACCUAUGACAAGCUUGAAGGUAAAACAAUAUCACUUUUUGAAUGAUAAUAUCCUUUUCACUUUGUGGAAAAAAAAAUAAAUGAUUGAGAAUCACAAUGAAACAUUCGCUAUAUCAUGAAAGCAGAUAAUGUAGUAAAUAAUAGAUGAAGCAAUUAAUCAAAUGAUGUAACAACAUGGUAAUGAAUCAAUAAAAGAAGAGAAUCUAUUUUGAGGUAAUUAAGCAACAAUAUUUGAUUACGUUAAAUUAAUUCUUUACUGUGGUUGAAAAAUAUAGAUUCCUCUUCUUAUAAAAGGUCUUCAUCUUCGUAAAAAAGCCUAAAUAACUAGAUAAUUACAUUUAAGUUUGAUAGCACUAUCUUAAUUUGUGCCACUGCAUUUGGAAUUGUAGAAAAUCAGUGUUUUGGUGGGCUUGUGUUACAUUUCAUCACCGAUCCCCCACUACCACAAACAUCAUUUUAGAUAUUUAAAUAAUUUUUAAUGUUUAUUUAAUUAAAUUGGUUUCAUUAAGUUCAGUGAUGAGACUUGAUAUUUUUUCUAUAUACAAUCCCAAGUAAUUCAAUCACACUAAGGGCAAAGAGUUCAUAGAAAGAAUCAUUUCUGGUCAGGACAAAAAGAAGUUCGUAUAAUGAAAAAUAAAUUCUAAAUCAUUUAUAACAUUAACAAACACAAAAUGAAUCAAAACGAAGAAGUGUUAUCAUGGAAAAAAUGAUUUAAAAAUAUGAUUGUCGAUAUGAAAUCAGUUAAAAAUAUAGUAGUUAAUUUAAAAUGAUUGUAUAAAUUUUGAGUUAUUAACCUCAAGCAAUCCAAUAAAAGAAUAGAGUUGUUUGGUAACAAAAAUUGUUACCUUUGUAGUAAAAAGUUUUAACCAUUUAUUAUCUAGAUUAAUAAAUAAAAUUUAUUAUCUCAAUUUAAGAUGUUUGAAGAACUAAUGGUAUCACAGAUAAAAUAAUUCAAUAGUGCAAUAUAACCUAAAACAAAGAUAUUUGAUUACCUAAACAAAAUGGUAUUUGUAGCCUCAAAUGUUUGUUAAAGGAGAGAAACCACUAAAAGUCCUGGAUCAUCCACUAAUAUUAGUUUCAUGACGUGUUUCAUUCUUUUUAUUAAUAUUUUUUUUUGUGCAUUGUCUUAUUUCUUUUAAGGGGCAAAGAACAUACUUACUAUUUUUAAUCGGCUUAAAUAAACAUCAAAGGCUAUAUAGCAACUAGAAUGCUUAAGAAUAUCCUUAUUCUCAUUUGCAAAACAAACGUAAAUAAUAAUGAACAAUUCAAAAUAUAAAUUUAAGUUGUUGAUUCAAAAUUAUUAUAUAAAUUUUGAGUCAUUAGUCUCAUGUAAUUUAAUAAUCGAUAUAAUUGGCUGGUAACAAUAAAUACUACAUUUUAACUAAAAAUUUCAAUUGUUGGAUUGCAUAAAUUAAUGAAUGAAAAUUUGUAUCUCAUUUUAAAUGUUUGAUGAACUAAUUGCAUUACAGAUAAAAUAAAUAUAAUCUAAAAGAAAGGAUAACUUACCUGAACAAAUUAGUUGUUGUAGCCUCAAAUAUGUUAAGAGGGAGAAACUAAUGAGCCUGAAGGAGAAAUAAGAUUACUUUUUACUGAAUGAUAAUGAUCUUUGUACUUAUUGGAAAAUAAAAAAAUGUGAAGGAUCAUAAUGAAAGCCAACAAAUAAAGUAAAGAUUAAUGUAGCCAAUAACAAAUAAAGUAAAGUAUCAAAUGACAAUUAAUCAAUAAAAGCAAAGAAUCUAUUUUUCAAAUAAUCAAGCAAAAAUACGUGACUACAUCAAAUUAAUUCUUUAUAAAGAAAAUGGUUUAAAAAUAUGAAUGUCGGAUAUUAUCUGAACUAAUUAUAAAAGAAACCGGCAGUCAAUAUCAUCUACGAGAGAAGAUAUCUAAUUACUCAUGUAAUGAAAAAAAAAAAGCAAAGUAAGAAUUAAUCGUGACUGAUAACAAAUAGAAGAAUUAAUGUAGCCAAAACCAACAAUAAAUAUUUGAUAAAGCAAGGAAUCAAAUGGGUGUGCAACAUCUCAAGCCUGAGAAUGUAGCUGGCUUGAAGUAUUAACCAAGCAAGGAUAUACCAAUCACGUAAAUUGAUUAUGUAUUGAAGCAGAAAAGUAUAGAUUCUUCUACUUUUUUUAGUUUUUUUAUUUUUGGUUUUCACAGGGUAUAGAUUCUUCUAUUUAUUAUCAUGUCUUCAUCUCUAUUACAAGCCCUAAUUAAUUAAAGUACAUAUUUUUUAAAAACUUUUCUAUAUAAUUUUUAAGAAAAAAAUCAUCCACACUCUCAAGAUUGGUUUAAAUGAUCACAUAAAUUCUUAGGUUUCAUAAAUGGUCAUUAAGACUUUUUUUGACAUUUAUAACCUUGAAUUGUAGUUUAAACUUUUAUGAUAAGUACAAUAGAAUACUAAGAUAAAAAUAUUAAAUAAAUAGCAUAUAUAUAUAUAUGUCAUGCAAACUAUUUUUAAUAUUAAGAUAUUAUUAGUUUGCCAAAUAGAUUUUACUAAAACCUAAAUCCAGUAAUCCAAAAAAUAAUUUUAAACUUACGCUGAUAUAGACAUAACAUAAAAAAAUGUAAUAUAAAAAAUAUUAUAAAUAAAAUACUUAAUACGAAUUUUGUAAGUUUUUUUGAAUGUUAAAUAUAAUUAUUUUCUAUUAUUAAUCUAUGAAAAAAUUCAUUAAUAUUAAAAAAUUAAUUGUUAAUAAUAAUAAUAAUAAUAACAGUUUUGUUAAUUUAUAAAAUAUAUAAUAAUUGAAAUAUUAAAUAUUAUAUUUGCAUUUGUUAUAGAAUUUUACUCAAAGUCAAUCAAAUUUAAUGUUGUUAUAAUUUUAUUUAGUAUUGAACAAUUAUUUAUAUAUGAUCAUUUAAUCAAAACUUAACGGUGUGAGUGGGUUUUUCUUUCCCUCUAAUUUCUAAUGUCCUAACGAUACGUUAUACUCUUCUUAGCUUAGAUAUCAAUAUUCAGAAAUAAAUUGGACACAACCGUUACCUUUUAUGGCAAAAAGUGUAACAGAAAUUCUUUUUUUUGGACAAAGACCUCCCUUGAGGUUUGGACUAAUAACAAACUAGUUAUUUGUGUGCUAUAUACUGCUAGAAGAACCCAAUAUUACGUGAAUACCCCUAUCAGAUAAAGUUACCAAAAUGACCUCAACUGGAAAGUUUCUAAAUAAUUGUGGCGCGGUCGAUGCAGUGACACCUCACCACAACUAUGGACUGUGAGUCUGUGAUGCCAAAUGUGUCCUUCUAUUUUAUUGAGCACUUUCUUAAGUAAAAAAACCAAAAAGCCAAAAAAGUGUUCACCAGAUCCACCGCCGACAAUAGAUUGGCCUUGGUUGGUAACGUUGUUAUGUUGGAUAUUUUAUUUAAGAUAUGAUUGUUGGAUAUUUUAUGAGUUAAAAGAAAUUAGUAGAAAGGAGAGUGGUUAAUUUGAAACAGUUGUAUAAACUUUGAGUCAUUGACCUCAUGCAAUCUAAUAAAAGAUAGAGUUGUUUGGUAGUAAAUUAGUUAUUAGGCGGCCUAAUUCGAAGAAUGAAAAAUGUUUAUCUCAAUUUAAGAUUUUAAAAGAACUAAUAGCAUUACAAAUAAAAUAAUUCAGUAGUGCAAUAUAAUCUAAAUGAAAGAUAAGUUAAUUAUCUGGACAAAUUAGUUAUUGUAGCCUCCUCAAAUAUUUGUUAAAGGGGAUAAACAACUAAUCCUGAAGGCAAAACAAGAAUAUUACAUUUUGCUUAAUGAUAAUAAUCUUGGUGAUUUUCUGAAAAGAAAGAAAAUGAUCAAGAAUCGUAACGAAAUGUUAGCUUAUGGAAGUACGGAGUAAUUUAGGCAAUAAUAAAUAAAGCAAUUGUUAGCUUAUGGAGAGAAUCUGUUUUCAAAUAAUUAAGCAAAAAUAUGUGACUACAUUAGAUUAAUUCAUUAUGAAGAAAAAAUGUUUUCAUAACAAAAUGACAUAACAUGUCGGAUAUUAUCCGAGAAUAUAAAAGAAACUAGUAGUACAAUGACAUCUUCUAUUUAUAUUUUUAAUUACCUCAACAAAUGGGUUGUUGCAGCUUGUUUCUUCCGAAGUUUUUUAAGGUAGACAAAACCAAGAAGCAUUCGAGGCAAAACAAAUAAUGGAGGUUCUUUAAUUUGCAGGAUGAAAAUAGUCUUUAUGAAUAAUAGAAACAACACCAAAGUAAGAACUGAUCAUGAUUGAAACGCCUGCUUCUAUAUAUAUAUAACUUAAACAACAGAUUUAAUGUAGCCAAAAACCGACAAUAUUUGAUGAAGCAAGGAAUCAAAUGGGUGUGCAACGUAGCAAGCAAGAUAAUGAAUCAAGGAAUAAAGGGAAGAAUAUAGCUAGUUUGAAGUAUUAAAUCAAGGAGCAACGGAAUAUGGCUAGUUUGAAAUAUUAAUUAAGCAAAGAAUAUAUGAAUUAUAUGUAAAAAAAAAAGAAUAAAUAACAAAUUUUAAGUUACUUAUUGAGGUAGGAAUAUAGAUUCUUCUGCUCUUCAUGAUAUUAUCUGUAUACAAAAUAAUUUCUUCAUCAGGGUAUUGAUACCUUCUCGCCUUGAAAAUUAAAUUGGGCAUAAAUGUAAAAAUUUAGAAAAUUUUAUUUCGUGGGAGAGUAACAUUGACCUUCUCUGAGGUUUUAAUUUGUAGAAAAUUUUAAUAUUAACUAACCAACGAACUGUAUAUUGUGUCCGACUGUUUGGUACAUGCAAUGUGCUAUUGAAAACAGUAAUUAUGUAAUAUGUUGGUUCUAAAUGUACUCAGAUGGACACGCCUUAGUGAUAAAAUUAUGAAAAUAUCCUCAAUGUCACCCCGGCUCACCCAGGAAUUUUUUUUGUCAUUACAUCAGCUAUGGAUUGAAAUGUCAAAAGUGUCCUUUUAUUAUUGAGUAGUACAUUUUCAAAGAAAAAUAAAAAUUAACCUACCGUUAAUAAGUUGCAUGACACAUCAGUUUAUAAACAAAUAUUUUAUAUCUUGACAUUAUUUAUAAGACAAAAUUAGUAGUCUCCCUAUGUGGAAAUACCAAAAUUAAGAAUAUUUUUAUUUUUUUCCUUUAAAAGAAAAAGUAAAGCAUAAUUAAUAAAUAGUGCUCAUUUCAAGUGGUGAAUAUAUAUUGAUGUUAAUUCAGUUGAUGUAUGAAUUAUGCAUAUCAACUUUACAAGUGUAUGUAUGAGUACUCAUUCACUAAUUUUUUGUUAUUAUUUUAUUUUUAGAAUUAAUUUGGUAAGUUAAUAUUUUUUUUCUUUUUCAUUACUAUCCCUAAAAAUGUUGCAAGGACAAUAAAGUAAAAGCAAAAAAAAGUUUGGAUUGGAGUAUACAUAAUUAAACCAAAGAUGUUUUAAAGUAUUCUUCAAAAUAUAAAAACUAAAGGGACAUUUUAAAAUAUAAGAAUUAAACAAAAAUUUACUUCUAUUAAAAUUUUUAUAUUACUGUAUUAACUGUGUGAUGUGGUUGCUAUUUCAUCGCCAACAUCGUUCAAGGUUGGAGAAUAAUACAGAUCAUCAGUGUUGUGAUCAUCAACAAAGUUGAAGAUCUACAUCAAGUAGAGGAUCUAUUCAAAAAACUUCAAAAGAACUGAAACGACCCGCUCCGCACCCCCAGGGCGAGUCUAUCUAAACUCGUAAAAUCGAAUCGAUAAUAUUUAUGAUAUCUAAGAAUUCUAUUAACAUUUCGGCAGAAUCUCCCUUAUAAAUAAAACAUUCCCAAACCUACAAUUUACAAAGCAAUACUCCCAAAAAUAAUUCAAUAUCCAUCCAUCCUUCAUAACCAACUUCUUAAGUCAACAUAUCAAACAUCACCCAAAUCAAUGGUUAUCCUUAAUUACAAAAUAUAACAAAUAAAUACAAUUCGCAAUAACCCAAAAAUCAAAAUUAUUAAAUCUAUGACUCCUAGCACCAUCACGUGGCCACAAUUUCAAAACUAACAUUCGUUGCUGGGUCGACUGAUGUACCUACAAAUCUCCUAGGGGGGAAAAUAUAAUAAAAACGGGAUGAGUAUAAAACUCAAUGAGUUCAGUGAGUGGAUAGUAGUUUUUUAAAAAAAUAACUUUAUUUAAAAUGAUUUAAUCUUUCUCAAAUCAAUUUCUCAAAUCAAUUUCAUCAAAAUCUCACAAGAACUUAUAUCAACUUAUUUAAUUCAAAUCAGUCACUGAAAUACUAUAUUACAUAAAUCUGCAUAAAAUCGAUGGAAACAUAAUACUUAUCAUAUCAAAUACUGAAUACCAAAAACUAUCAUCAAACAAGUACCCAAGGGAAUAAUCUCAUCAUAUCCGGACCUCGACGGACGGGCAAUCAGGGAACCAUCAUGCCCUGGAGCUACAACGGAUAGAUGGGAAAAAUCUCAUCUCAUAUCUCAUGUAUCUCAACAUAUGUAUCUCUGUAAUCAUCAUACUGCAUGCAUAAGCCCCCAAAAGGCAAAAGCGCCCAAACACACGGCCCAAAGCCUUUAUGUGUGUUCAGACGGGCCCCAAAGGCCUCUAUCUCAUCUCAUAUGUAUCUCUGUAUUCAUCUCAUAUUAUAUGUAUCUCUAUAUCUGGAGGGAAGGGUACUGUCCAAUGAUUUUCCAAACAACAUUUAUACUCAUAUACAUAAACAUAUAAUCACAUCUGAAAUCUCAUUUUCUUUCUAUGCAACAUAUCUCAAAUAUGCUCAAUUCUAAUAUCAUGCAUAAAAUCAUUAAUCAAACUCAUUUUUAAUAACAAUAAAUAUCGACACGUAGAUAAAAAUCAAUUUCUAGAAAAUCAUUAAAUCGAAGCAUUAAACACUUAUUUAUCAAAACAUACUGCACUGUAUCAUAAAAUCAACAUAUACUAUGAAAAUAGAUUUUGUAUAUUCCACUCACAGUGUCGAUGUUCAGACUCGGUAUCAACAACGUCCGCGGGUUGAUUCUCGCUCGCGGAUCCUCCUAAUCAAGGAAACGACAUAAUCAUUCUCCGUAAAUUUGAAGCGCAACUAAUCUUAUAUAAUAAUUCUCGAAACGAAUAUCUAUCAACAAUAACUAUUCCCGCAUGCACAAAAUUACCAAAAUACCCCUAGAUGCCAAAAUUACCAAAAUGCCCCCAACAUCAUUAUUUUACCAAAUUAUCCUCAGAAUCUUCAAUUACCAAAUUGUCCUCAAUUCAGAUCACAUAAAUAACCACAAUGUCAGAAAUUACGAAAUUAACCUCGGAACGUAAAUUUACCAAAAUGUCCUUAAUGACUUAAAUUACCGAAUUACCCUCGAAAUCUCAAAUUACCUCACUGCCUUAACUUAAAAUUACCAAAUUAUCCACUGAUUAUUACAAAUUCACCCUAAAGUUUUAUGAAUUUACCGAAUUGCCCCAGCCGGUCAACGGUGACCGGACUUCAGUCAACGACGACGGGAAGCUUAGGUCUGAUAGUUCAGACCUCGGUGAGUCCAAUGGUGCCGGCGGUGACCUCCCACGCGCGGCAACGGCGGCAAAUCAGCUUCCAAAUCCGCAAGCUUUCCAAGUGGCUGAUCGUCAACAAUCCGACUGUUUCAGGUGACGAGGUUGGUCGGAAAAUAAUGUUGGUGACGUGAGGAGUAGAACCCAACUGGAAGUGUGCCUAAACUCCGGCGAAAUUGACGGUGGCGAAAACGGGUCUUGGCCGCGAGUUUCUGAACUCAAUCGCCGGCGUUCUGGUCGGUUUCCGGUGACGAGGACUGUUGGGUUAUGACGGUCGGCUUCCAAGCUUCAGAUCGAUACCAAGCUCGGCCGGUGAGGUGGCCGGAAUCGCGAGAUAUGGCCGGGUCAAGGUCGCGGGUUCCGGGUCGGAUCCGGGUCAAACUCGGGUCAUCUCUCUCUCUCUCGUGUCCCUCUCUCUCCUUCCUUUUAAAAAACAAUUCCCCCCCCCCCUUUCUAUAUACAGAACCCGAAUUCUUCUUCCUUUUUUUUUAAAACUUAAGCUUAAUACAAAUUAAGCUUAUACCGGUGCCGAGACGAAAAUAAAAUCCGACUACUUGAGCUUUUAAUCGCGCUAAAUUUAUCUCGAUUUAAUGUCGUGACAAAUAAAAUUAAUAUCGAAGAGGAAAAAUUAAAUCACACACUAAAAUCAAAGUGCAUAUGUUACAAUCCUCCCUCCUUAUAAAAAUUUCGUCCUCAAAAUUUACACAUUUGAUGAGAACAGGUGAGGGUAUUGGGCUCGUAUUAAGUCUUCGCGUUCCCAAGUAGCUUUUUCCCUUGUGUGAUUCCUCCACAACACUUUUACUAAUGGAAUGGUUUUUGAACGCAAAACUUAGUGCUUCUGUUCUAGUAUUUCCACGGGCUCUUCUUCAUAAGUCAAGUCUUCUUUCAGCUCAAUUGGUUGUCUCGAUAACACAUGACUAGGAUCAUACACGUACUUCCGGAGCAUCGAGACAUGAAAUAUAUCAUGGAUUCUGGAUAACUCAGGUGGUAGAGCUAAUCGGUAUGCCAACGGACCAAUACGCUCCACGAUCUCAUAUGGUCCAAUGUAACGUAGACUUAGCUUCCCGCGCUUCCCAAAUCGAAGUACCCCUUUCCAAGGAGAUAUCCGUAUGAAAACCUUAUCACCCACUUUAAAUUCAAGUUCCCGCCUACGCUUAUCUGUAUAGCUCUUUUGUCAGUUUUGGGCUGCUUUUAAUCUUUCCCGAAUAAGUUGUAUCUUCUCAUUAGUAUUCUGAACCAAUUCGGGACCAAGAAGCUUCCGCUCUCCAACCUCGUCCCAACAUACGGGAGUUCUACAUUUCCUGCCAUACAAGGCCUCAUAAGGUGCCAUCUCGAUGCUAGCUUGAUAACUGUUAUUACAAGCAAAUUCCAUUAAGGGUAAAUAAAUGUCCCAACCACCCUUAAACUCCAAAAUACAAGCUCGUAACAUAUCCUCCAGGGUUUGAAUAGUAUGCUCUGACUGACCAUCAGUCUGUGGAUGAAAAGCUGUACUAAAAUUCAACUUGGUGCCUAAAGCCUUUUGCAAACUUAUCCAGAACUUAGAAGUAAAUCGGGAAUCUCUAUCUGAAACAAUAGACACAGGUGCUCUGUAAAGUCGAACUAUCUCGGCUACAAAAAUAUUCCCUAACUUGUCCAUCGAAUAAGUGGUCUUGAAUGGUAAAAAGUGAGCAGAUUUUGUAAGUCGAUCAACAACUACCCAAACACUAUCAUGACCACUCUGCGUACGUGAAAGUCCCGCUACAAAAUCCAUGGUGAUGUGCUCCCAUUUCCACUCAGGGAUAGGAAGCGGCUGAGAAAACCCUGCAGGUCUUUGAUGUUCAGCCUUAAUCUGCUGACAAACUAAACACCAAGAUACAAAUUCAGCCAUCUCACUCUUCAUACCUUGCCACCAGUAAUGAUCUCUCAAGGUACGAUACAUCUUCGUACUACCCGGAUGCAUAGCAUAAGUUGAACAAUGAGCUUCUUCCAUGAUCUCCUUUUUCAACUCUUUAAUAUCGGGUACGCAAAGUCGAUAUCCCAUAACUAAAACUCCAUCAUCUUUCACCGCAAAAUCAGUUCGUAAGCCUUUUUGCACAUCCUCUUUCAACUUCAGUAACUGCAAAUCCUGAUCUUGCAUUUGAUGAACUUUGUCAAUCAAAGUCGGCCUCACUUGAAAAUUAGCUAUCAAAGCCCUGCAAUUUUCAACUUCCAAUUCAACUCCCAAAGAUCUCAGCUCGAUCAAUAAAGGCAUAUAUGUCCCUCGCAAGUGAGCUAUAGAGCUGGAAGACUUCCUAUUUAGCGCAUCAGCUACCACAUUUGCUUUGCCCGGAUGAAAAUCAAUAGUGCAAUCGUAGUCUUUAAUCAGCUCAAUCCAUCUCCUCUGUCUCAAAUUUAACUCUUUUUGAGUAAACAAAUACUUCAAGCUCUUGUGAUCAGUGAAAAUCUAGCAUGUUGCUCCGUAUAAAUAAUGUCUCCAUAUCUUGAGUGCAAAUACCACUGCUGCUAAAUCUAAAUAAUAGGUUGGGUAGUUUUGUCAUGCUUUUUAAGUUGCCUAGAAACAUAAGCUACUACUUUCCCAUGUAGCACACAACCCAAUCCUUGACUGGAUGCAUCACUGUAUACUACAAACCCUUCAUUACCCGAUGGAAGUGUAAGAACUGGUGCUGAAGUAAGUCGUGCCUUGAGUUCUUGAAAGCUCUUUUCACAGUCAUCAUCCCACUGGAACUUAGCAUUUUUUUCUAGUUAACCGUGUCAGAGGAGUAGUAAUCUUGGAGAAUCCUUCCAUAAAUCUACGAUAAUAGCCAGCUAAUCCAAGGAAACUUCGAACCUCGGUCACAUUUGUAGGCCGUUCCUAAUUUACAACCGCUUCGAUCUUUUGAGGAUCAACAUAAAUUCCUUCAGCUGAUAUCACAUGGCCUAGAAAUACUACUUUAUCCAACCAGAACUCACACUUGCUGAACUUGGCGUACUCCGAGAAUACACUAAAAUGUCGUUAAUGAACACAAUCACAAAUCGAUCCAGAUAAGGGCGGAAUACCCUAUUCAUAAGAUUCAUAAAAGCUGCUGGGGCAUUAGUCAACCCAAAUGGCAUCACCAAAAAUUCAUAAUGUUCAUAACGAGUUCUGAAUGCUGUUUUAGGAAUAUGGGCCUCUUCAAUUUUAAGUUGAUGAUAUCCCGAGCGCAAAUCGAUCUUAGAAAACACAUUCGCUCCCUGAAGUUGAUCAAACAAGUCAUCAAUACGAGGAAGUGGAUAUUUAUUACGCGCUGUAACUUUAUUCAACUGCCUAUAGUCAAUGCAAAGUCUAAGAGUACCAUCAUUUUUCUUAACAAACAAAACCGGAGCUCCCCACGGAGACACACUAGGUCUAAUAAACUCUUUAUCCACUAAUUCUUGCAGUUGAAUCUUAAGUUCCUUUAGUUCAGCUGAAGCCAUCCUAUACGGUGCUAUAGAUAUAGGAGCCGUCUCAGGGACUAAAUCAAUAGAAAACUCAAUCUCUUUGUGAGGUGGCAUCCCUGGAAGUUUAUAUGAAAAUACAUUUGGAAACUCCUGGGCUACUGGAAUAUCCUCCAAUCUCAACUCCCGAACUUCAGUAUCUAUUACGUGUGCCAGAUAAGCAGAGCAACCUUUUCUCAGUAAACGUCUUGCAUCAAUGGCCGAUAUGACACAUGAGGGUAAAACUCUACGCUCACCGUAAAAUUUCACCUCAAUUUCUCCUGGCUUAUUGAACACAACUUCUUUUUUGAAACAAUCCACAGUAGCAUGGUGAGAUGCAAGCCAAUCCAUGCCCAAAAUGGCAUCGAAAUCUCGAAUGUCUAGAAUAAUUAAAUUCGCCCUAAAUUCAUGCUUACCCAAUUAAAUCAUGCAAUCUCGAUACACCCUCUCGGCAAGCAGUGACCCUCUGGUAGGUGUACUAACAACUAAACCAUAAUCCAACAAUUCAGGCUCUUUCUCUCUAUGCAUAACAAAUGUACGAGAAAUAAAAGAAUGUGUGGAUCCAGGAUCAAUAAGAAUAUGAGCAUCAUGGCCAAAGAUAGAUAAUGUACCCAUAAUAACUUCUAGUGUAGCAUGAGCCUCCUACUGUGUCAAGGCAAAAACUCGAGCCUGAGUACAAGGUCGACCAGGUUGACCUCUCUGACUUGGAAUAGUGGCCUGACUCUUAGAUAUAGAACCCCCUGUUUGCAUAUCCCUUUGACCCUGAACUGGUCCAGCAUGAGAUUGAUACUGCGGGGCUGUCCCUCGAGCAAAACUAUCACCCUGAGAUAAAGUAGGGCAGAAUCCCCUUAUGUGUCCAGGCUGACCAUACAAAUAACAAACUCUGUCUCCAACACGACAUUGGCCCUGAUGAUUGCUGCCACAUGAAGGGCAAGAAGUCUACUGGAAACUCCUAGAACGAUCAUCACGAUAUCCCCCACCACUGCGGUCAUACUAUCCCUGAUUCCUGGUAUUACUCCCCACUGAUGGUUGUGCCGAACUGUAACCGGCGGCCUGUCUCUGAUCUCCCCUGCUACUUAUACUCUGAUUCUUUUGCACACCAACAGAGUAAUUUGUAUGUGAGCCUCUCUUCGGCGGUCUGCUGCUCGAGCCACCCUCUGUCCAACUCUGGCUACGUUUUUUGUUUCAGAGCCUGAACUCUACGUCCCUCAGAGAUAUUGUGUUCUACUCUCUUAGCUGUCUCAACUACCUCAGCAAACUCAGUGUACCGUGAUGCUGUCACAGUUGUACGAAUUUCAAAUCGGAGACCCUCCUCAAAACGCUUGCAUCUCUCUCUCUCAUCACCAACUGCUGAAAUGGCAAAUCUAGAAAGAUCCAAAAAUUUCUUCUCAUACUCUUCUACUGACAUAGAUCCUUGAACCAACCGAAGGAAUUCACUCCGCUUAAUAUCCUGAUACACAGCUGGAAAAUAAUGAUCGUAGAAUUCCUUACGAAAAAUAGCCCAUGUAAGCGCAGCAUGCCCUUGGUAUCUACGCUCUACUGUUUGCCACCAAUGAUAAGCCCUAUCUUCGAGUAGAAAAGUGGCAAAUGAAAGUCUAUCCUCCUCUAAGCAUCUCAUCAUAUCAAAAAUACGUUCUAAUUUAAUAAGCCACGACUCUGCCUCAGGUGGAUCUUCAGAACCAUUAAAACUCUUGGCCCCUAAACUUCGUACACGCACGAUAGUAUUUGCAUGACCGACAUGCGGAUGAGUCUGAUUCUGUACCAUUGUAGUCACAAUCUGAGCUAAUCUAUCAAUUGACUGCUCAAUGUUCGGAGCAUUUCCUGGUGCUUGUUACACAACCUCGUGCGUAGAAGACUCAACUAUUCCCUCGUUUACGGGAUCAUUUUCCCCCGCAGGUACAUCUCCUGGAGUAAACCCAGCUACUAGCCUAGUACGGCCACUACCAUGGCCACGUCCGCGGCCACGUCUACUGCUACGACGAAUCAUGAUGGUGCCUACAAAAUAUUAAGUCUGACUUUAAUAACAAUAAAACUUAUUCUAUUUACGACAGUAAAGUCUACAGAAUCUAUAACAAUGCUCUGAUACCAACUGAAACGACCCGCCCCGCACCCCCAGGGCGAGUCUAUCUAAACUCGUAAAAUCGAAUCGAUAAUAUUUAUGAUAUCUAAGAAUUCUAUUAACAUUUCGGUAGAAUCUCCCUUAUAAAUAAAAUAUUCCUAAACCUGCAAUUUACAAAGCAAUACUCCCAAAAAUAAUUCAAUAUCCAUCCAUCCUUCAUAACCAACUUCUCAAGUCAACAUAUCAAACAUCAUCCAAAUCAAUGGUUAUCCUUAAUUACAAAAUAUAACAAAUAAAUACAAUUCGCAAUAACCCAAAAAUCAAAAUUAUUAAAUCUACGACUCCUAGCACCAUCACGUGGCCACAAUUUCAAAACUAACAUUCGUUGCUAGGUCGACUGAUAUACCUGCAAAUCUCCUGGGGGGAAAAUAUAAUAAAAACGGGAUGAGUAUAAAACUCAGUGAGCUCAGUGAGUGGAUAGUAGUUUUUUAAAAAAUAACUUUAUUUAAAAUGAUUUAAUCUUUCUCAAAUCAAUUUCUCAAAUCAAUUUCAUCAAAAUCUCACAAGAACUUAUAUCAACUUAUUUAAUUCAAAUCAGUCACUGAAAUACUAUAUUACAUAAAUCUGCAUAAAAUCGAUGGAAACAUAAUACUUAUCAUAUCAAAUACUGAAUACCAAAAACUAUCAUCAAACAAGUACCCAGGGGAAUAAUCUCAUCAUAUCCGGACCUCGACGGACGGGCAAUCACGGAACCACUGUAACAUAUGCACUCCGAUUUUUCUUAAUAAAGUGAGUGAUUUAAUUUUUCCUCUUCGCUUAUAAUUUUUAAAUUCGUCACGACAAUUUAUCGAGAUAAAUUGAGCCGACGAGUUCUCCCGUUUCUGACUACCUCACCGGCCGUGCUUGGUACCGAUCUGAAGUUUGGAAGCCGACCGUCGUAUCCCCGCUGUCCUCGUCGCCGGAAACCGACCAGAACGCCGGCGAUUGAGCUCGGAAACUCGUAGCUUAAACCCAUUUUCGCCGCCGUUGAUCCCGCCGGAUUUUUGACGCACCACCACUUGGAACUGGUUCCUCACGUCUCCAGCAUCAUUUCCCGACCAACCACGACCACCAAGGACGCCGGAAAAUCACCAAACGAUCACCGGAAAGUUUCAGAUUUUUGGAGCUUCGAUCCGCCGUCGUCGCCGCGCGUGGGAGGACACCGCCGGCACCACUAGACUCACCAAGGCCGGAACUAUCAGACCUAAGCUCCCCGUCGUCGUUGACUGAAGUCCGGUCACCGUUGACCGACAGGGGCAAUUCGGUAAAUUCAUAAAACUUUGGGGUGAAUUUGUAAUUUUAUGUAAUCAGUGGACAUUUUGGUAAUUUACGCUCCGGGGGUAAUUUCGUAAUUUUCUGACAUUGUGAUUAUUUAUGUGAUCUGAAUUGAGGACAAUAUGGUAAUUGAAGAUUCUAAGGACAAUUUGGUAGAAUAAUGAAGUUUGAGGAUAAGUUGGUAAAAUAUUGAUGUUGGGGGUAUUUUGGUAAUUUUGGCAUGUAGGGGCAUUUUGGUAAUUUUGUACAUGCGGGAAUAGUUCAUCGUUGAUAGAUAUUCGUUUCGAGAUUUAUUAUAUUAAAUUGGUUGUAUUUCAAAUUUACGGAGAAUGAUUAUGGCGUUUCCUUGUUUAGGAGGAUCCGCGAACGAGAAUCAACCCGCGGACGUUGUUGAUACCGAGUCUAGACAUCAUCACUGUGAGUGGAAUAUACGAAACCUAUGUUCAUAGUAUAUGCUGAUUUCAUGAUACAGUGCAGUAUGUUUUGAUAAAUAAGUAUUUGAUGCUCGAUUUAAUGAUUUUCUAGAAAAUUGAUUUUUAUCUAUGUGAUGGUAUUUAUUGUUAUUGAGCAUGAGUUUGAUUAAUGAUUUUACUAUCGUUUUUGAGUAAAGGCAUGAUGUUAGAAUAGAGCAGAUUCGAGAUAUGUUGAAUAGAAAGAAAAUGAGAUUUCAGAUGAGAUUAUGUAUAUGAGUAUGAAUGUUAUUUUUGAAAUCAUUAGACAGUACCCUUCCCUCCAGAUACAGAGAUACAGAGAAUAUGAGAUAAAUACAGAGAUACAGAUAAGAUGAAAUACAGGCUUUUGGGGCCCGUCUGAACACACAUAGAGGCUUUGGGCCGUGUGUUUGGGCGCUUUUGCCUUUUGGGGGCUUCUGCAUGCAGUACAGAGAUAUGAGAUAUGAGAUUGAGAUUUUCCCCAUCUAUCCGUUGUAGCUCCGGGGCAUGAUGGUUCCCUGAUUGCCCGUCCGUCGAGGUUCGGAUAUGAUCAGAGUAUUCCCCUGAGUACUUGUUUGAUGAUAGUUUUCAGUAUUCAGUAUUUUAUAUGAUAAGUAUUAUGAUUCCAUCGAUUUUAUGCAAAUUUUGAUGUGAUAUAGUAUUUCAAUUUAAAUAAGUUUGUUUAAGUUCUUAUGAUACUUUGAGAAAUUGAUUUGAGAAAGAUUAAAUCAUUUUAAAUAAAUGUAUGUAUUUUUCAAAAUUACUAUCCACUCACUGAGUUCACUGAGUGUUAUACUCAUCCAUCUUUUAUUAUAUUUUUCCCCCCCACAGGAGAUUUACAGGUACAUCAGUCAACCCAGUAACAAACGUUAGUUUGAUAUUGUGGCCACGUGAUGGUGCUAGGAGUCGUGGAUUUAAUUAUUAUAAUAUUUGGGAUUUUUGCGAGUUGUGUUUAUUUAUUAUUUUAUGUAAUUAAGAUGUAUUCUAAUAUUAGGAUGAUUUGGAUGAUAUUUGAUACGUUGAUUUGAGAAGUUGGUUAUGGAGGAUGGUUGGAUAUUAAAUUAUUUUGGGAGUGUUGUUUUGUAAUUUGCAGGAUUUGGGUAUGUUUUAUUUUUAAGGGAGAUGCUGCCGAAAUUUUUAUAGAAUUCUCAGAUUUUAUAAAUAGUAUCGCUUCGAUUUUACGAGUUUAGAUAGACUCACCCUGGGGAGUGCGGGGCCGGUCGUUUCAACCAUCAUGCCCCGGAGCUACAACGGAUAGAUGGGAAAAAUCUCAUCUCAUAUCUCAUGUAUCUCAACAUCUGUAUCUCUGUAAUCAUCAUACUGCAUGCAUAAGCCCCCAAAAAGGCAAAAGCGCCCAAACACACGGCCCAAAGCCUCUAUGUGUGUUCAGACGAGCCCCAAAGGCCUCUAUCUCAUCUCAUCUGUAUCUCUAUAUUCAUCUCAUAUUAUCUGUAUCUCUGUAUCUGGAGGGAAGGGUACUGUCCAAUGAUUUUCCAAACAACAUUUAUACUCAUAUACAUAAACAUAUAAUCACAUCUGAAAUCUCAUUUUCUUUCUAUGCAACAUAUCUCAAAUCUGCUCAAUUCUAAUAUCAUGCAUAAAAUCAUUAAUCAAACUCAUUUUUAAUAACAAUAAAUAUCAACACGUAGAUAAAAAUCAAUUUCUAGAAAAUCAUUAAAUCAAAGCAUUAAACACUUAUUUAUCAAAAAAUAUUGCAUUGUAUCAUAAAAUCAACAUAUACUAUGAAAAUAGAUUUUGUAUAUUCCACGCACAGUGUCGAUGUCCAGACUCGGUAUCAACAACGUCCGCGGGUUGAUUCUCGCUCGCGGAUCCUCCUAAUCAAGGAAACGACAUAAUCAUUCUCCGUAAAUUUGAAGCGCAACUAAUCUUACAUAAUAAUUCUCGAAACAAAUAUCUCUCAACAAUAACUAUUCCCGCAUGUAAAAAAUUACCAAAAUACCCCUAGAUGCCAAAAUUACCAAAAUGCCCCCAACAUCAUUAUUUUACCAAAUUAAUUGUCCUCAAUUCAGAUCACAUAAAUAACCACAAUUUCAGAAAUUACGAAAUUACCCUCGGAACGUAAAUUUACCAAAAUGUCCUUAACGACUUAAAUUACCGAAUUACCCUCGAAAUCUCAAAUUACCUCACUGCCCUAACUUAAAAUUACCAAAUUAUCCACUGAUUCCAUAAAUUACAAAUUCACCCUAAAGUUUUAUGAAUUUACCGAAUUGCCCCUGCCGGUCAACGGUGACCGGACUUCAGUCAACGACGACGGGAAGCUUAGGUCUGAUAUUUCAGACCUCGGUGAGUCCAAUGGUGCCGGCGGUGACCUCCCACGCGCGGCAACGGCGGCAAAUCAAGCUUCCAAAUCCGCGAGCUUUCUAAGUGGCUGAUCGUCAACAAUCCGACCAUUUCAGGUGACGAGGUUGGUCGGAAAAUAAUGCUGGUGACGUGAGGAGUAGAACCCAACUGGACGUGUGCCCAAGCUCCGGCGAAAUCGACGGCGGCGAAAACGGGUCUUGGCCGCGAGUUUCUGAACUCAAUCGCCGGCGUUCUGGUCGGUUUCCAGUGAUGAGGACGGCUGGGUUAUGACGGUCGGCUUCCAAGCUUCAGAUCGAUACCAAGCUCGGCCGGUGAGGUGGCCGGAAUCGCGAGUUAUGGCCGGGUCAAGGUCGCGGGUUCCGGGUCGGAUCCGGGUCAAACUCAGGUCAACUCUCUCUCUCUCUCUCUCUCUCUCUCUCUUGUCCUUCUCUCUCCUUCCUUUUAAAAAAACAGUUUCCCCCCCCCUCCCUUUCUAUAUACAAAACCCAAAUUCUUCUUCCUUUUUUUUUUUAACUUAAGCUUAAUACAAAUUAAGCUUAUACCGGUCCCGAGACGAAAAUAAAAUCCGACUACUCGAACUUUUAAUCACGAUAAAUUUAUCUCGAUUUAAUGUCGUGACAAAUAAAAUUAAUAUCGAAGAGGAUAAAUUAAAUCACACACUAAAAUCAAAGUGCAUAUGUUACAAGAACUAAAUUACACAUGAAUUGAAUAAUUUAAUGUUUUAUUUUCUUUAAUCGCAUGCACUGCCGAAAAAAAUUCCAAUAUGUGCCAUUACACAGUUGGAGGUAGAAAUAGGUAGGGUAAAUGGUUUUAGUAAUUAAGUGUCCUUUAAUAAAUUAUUCUCAUUUUUUGCGGUGAGAUCUUUUGAUUUCCUAUUUGUUGCGACUUCUCCUCUAGUUGCCAUCGCAUUUUUGAGAAAUUUUAGAGAAUAUUACAGGUAUUAUAUCUAUUUAAUACAUGUAUGGUCUGUGUGCACUAAUUAAAUAUAACUACAAAUUGCAUGAUAAUUUUUAAGGUGCACAAAUAUCAUAAAAUAAUUAAUUAGGUGUAAUAUUUUUAAUGUAUUCUAAAAAGUAGAACCUUUCUCUUUGUCUUAAUUUGCUACUUCAGUUGCAAUCUAUUAUCUUUCUUCUUUAUUGUUAUUAUAACUCACGAACUUUAAAGUUUGAACUCAAAACCUUAGCUUUAAAAUUUGUCCAAUAUACAAAUGUGCGGAUGUCUUUAUUCUUUUUCUUUUAUUUUACAAUUUGCUUGCUGGACUUAGUAAAUGUAAUUACUUAGUAAAUUUAAUUUUAUCAUUUUAAAUGACCAUUUAUUUUAAAUAUAGUAUGUAUUCGAAAAUAUAUUAUAUGAUAUAUUAGUAAAUUUAUAUUACUUGUAUUACAUCUGCCUAAAUACUCGCAAAAACCCACAGAUAAUUAUGCUUGUGUCAUUACCUUUCCAGAUGGGUACAUGGACGGAAAUAUUUAUGUACUUUGUGUUUACAUAUUGAAUACAAGUAAAUAGAUGUUUUCAGUCAAUUUCAAUUAUUACUUUAUCUCUUUUUGCCAGCAACGCUUGCUGACAUAAUUGCCCUUUGCUGUGCUUCUAAAGUUGAUAUUCUGUCAAUUUUUUUUGUAAUCAUUUUUCUCAGACCAUGUUUUAAAUAUAUGUGACAGGUCCAUGUUGAACUGAGGAAAUGGCUUAAAGACAAUGUCAACGCUGAAGUUGCAGCAUCAACUAGAAUCAUCUAUAGGGGUAUCAUUUCACUACUUUAUUAGCUAUUAAUUGUGACCACUAUUUAAAAUUAAUUUUGUGCAUGUUGUAAUCGUUAUUAAUAUAUAUGGAGCCGGGCAUGGGCUUAUUGAAGCUAAUGGCUGGUCUUUUUAGAACAUUUUCUUGUACAGGCAAAGUAAUAAAUAGCACCUUACAACUAAACAUACAAUAUUAUUACUCCAACCUGUUUAUUGAACUUACUUUGGCCUUUUCUGUUUGAUAUCAAGGAGAUAUAUUCUCAUGUAUAUGCUUCUGAGAUAAGCAUUCUUUUGCUCUGUUAGGUGCUUAAUAUUUUUUCUUUUGCAAUAAUAAUUUUAGUUCGAUUGGUUCUUAAACAGUUCCAAAUAUUUAGAAAAAUGAAAGUUGCGUAAGGAUAUAAUAUACAAUGCAAACUAUUGAAAAUGGAUCCAAGAACAGAAUUCUCUGCCACUGAUAUUUUAUUCAGCUUAAUUAAUUAGAGGAGUAAUGAUAAUGUUGUGAACCAGGCCUGCUUUUGUAUUCCUCGUUUAUAGGUACUAACAGACUCAUCGAUAUUAUCAAGUUUCCACUCAUCAACAUUUUAUAAUUAGAUGUCGUUCAUGAUUUAUCCUAUAGGUUCAUUUUGUAGUAUACCACUCGGUUUAAUGCUGAAGCUGUGAAAAACUUUUUGUACACUCUCAAAAAUGGCAAGAUACCGAAAAAGAAAUUUAAUUGUAGGUUGUCCACUGAACGACUGACAAGUGUUUGUUAUUAUUUAGGCAUUUCUUCCACUUUUAUUUUUGGGGUUGGAACAACAGAAUGAGAUAUAUUUUCACAGCUACUUUCAAAAUAUUUAAUGACAAAUGCAUCAUCCAAAAAGAACCAGCGAUUUUGAAUUAAAUUUUUAUGGAGCUCUGUUGUUUGGCUGUAUUAAAGCUUGAUGACCUUCGGAGAUAUCUAAUAUAUAUCUCCAGAAUAGGAAACAUAUUUAUCUGUUGUGCUUCUCUAUAUGUGGUUUGGGGUGGCAGUGGAAAUGGGGAGAAUAUGGUACUGCAUUCUAUUGUCUCUUUGAUAUACUUUUUUUUUAAAUAAUUAAUUCAUAUUAAUGCUUGGUGUACUUAUUUGUGCUAUUUUCUUGUCGGUUCUUGCUUUUGGAAUUUCCUUUUGCAUUAGAAGGAAGGAGGAAGUUCGUUUUAUUAUGGGCGAGUUUGGUUAUGGCUACUUUUUAGGAUGUGUAGGAGAGAAACAAAAGAAUAUUUGAGGAAAACACGUGAGGAUAUUUUUGUAUAUUUAGGAGAAAGUGAGGAUCUGGGCUUCUCAUUGGGCUUCCAUUCCAUUUUUUCAAAGUUUAAUGAGUCUCCUUUUAAUUCUUAGCAACUGGCAAGAAAUGGCAGCAGCCUGAGAAGGAGAGUUUUAGCCUUUUCAUAGAUUUUGUGGAGACUUUCAUGUUUAUACUCUUGGCUAUAGUUUGUGCGCUGUCAUAUUAGUAAUAGAGUUUCAAAUCAUUUGUCCAUGAUUUUCACAGGAUAUGUGCUAGAUAGAAAUAACCAUAAUGUUUUGCAUGCCUAAUUUAAGUUGCAUAAAAAACAUGGAGUUUUACUUUAAUAGAUAACUCUUUAUAUUAUAGGGUUGGCUAUAUUCAUUAAUGUUGCACAUGCAGAUUGAGUUUGAAUUUGUAAUGAUUUUGUUGCAUCUAAAACUUACGAGUUUUACUGUAGUAGUUAAUUCUUUUUAACAUUAGUGCUGGGUAUAUUCAAUUGGUGUUGCAUAUGCAUGUUGAGAGAAACUGCUCGUCUUGGGAGUUUUGCUGGGUAUUUGUUGAGAAUGGGAGUUUAUCUACUGGAAUUUUACUGAGAAUAUGGGAGGAGUUCUACAUUACAACGUUUGCUAGAAUUAGCUUCUUAAUUACUUUGGAUGUGUUAACUAUUGCAUACAAGUGUUUUCGGAUGAUGUUAUUAAUACAAAGUGUUUUUGGACUUGAUAAAAUGUAUAAUUUAAUUUUUGGUUCAUAUUGCAUUUAUGAUUGAAUUUCAUAUACAAGAACGCAUAAAUUUAAAUGAAAUAUUUCAUAAUUGCUUUCAAUAUAAAUUUAGAUCCUAUGACAGAAAAUAUUAAUUAUAAAUUAAGUCACAAAAAAAAUAAUUUAUGACAGAAAACAUCAAUCAUAAAUUCCGUCAUAAACUAAGUACUCUACCCACUAAAAUUAUCCAUAUGAUAAUUUACACGUGAAAAUCAAUUUUCAUGUCAAAUUUCAAAAUUGAAAAAAAAAAUUCCUGCCAAAAAUUAAUUAAUAUAUUCAUUUUUUUAUGACAGACAUAUGACAUCUAAACAUUAUCAUAAGUUAAUGACAUUUUUUUUCUAUCAUAAAAGAGUGACAGGUACAUAAAUGAUGGAUAAUUUCAUUGUCAUCCACCCUGCUUUGUGAUAGUUUUUUUCCGUCAUCUGUUGCCAGUUUUCUUGUAGUGUAUUACCCUUCUUAAUAACCUCAGAUCCCUUGACAAUUUUCAUCUAACUAGAUUCCAUCUUAACACUACAUCCUAUUUGAUUAAGCAUUUCCAGCGAAAUUAAAUUCCUUUUCCGAUCAGGCACAUACCUAACCUGUCUAAGUUCCCUAAUGAUACCAUCAUGUAGUUUGAGAUUAACAUUGCCAAUUCCGAAGAUCUGACACACAGUACAACCUAAGUCUAGAACUCAUUUACCAUUUUCUUUGUUGUAUGUGGCAAUACAUUUUCUAGCAUGUUUAUAUCCUCCAUCUUCUGCAACAACUGCAUCUCCAUUUUUAUCCUUUUUCUUAAGCUUCCUUUCUGGGUAAUCCUUCUUAAAAUGCCCCUCUUUAUGCAUAAGAAACACUUCAAGUUCUUAGGCUUUUCCUUGCUUCUUUUUCUUCCUUCUGGCUUUGCUUUUGCUAUUAAACCUUCACUAGAGCCAUUUCCAAGGCUUUCUUGCUUCCCUUAAAACUCCUUAGUGCUAAAAGUUGACUUUACCUCAUCCAGAGACAAUGCAUGCCUGCCAUACACUAAAGCAUCAACAAAAUGUUCAUAAAACUUGGGCAGAGAGCUUAUUGAAAACAAUGUUGUAUCCUCAUCGUUCAAUGUUGCACCUAUAGUUUCUAGAGUGCCGCACACUUUGUUAAACUCAUCAAGAUGAUCAUCAACGGAUAAGCCUUCAAUUAUUUUCAAUAUGAACAUUCUCUUUUUGAUGUAUAAUCGGUUAGCAAGAGAUUUUUUCAUGUAUAUGCUCUCUAAUUUGGCCCAUAGGUCAACAACUUAUCGAUUCUUUGGCCACUUUCCUUAUCACUGAGUCUGCAAAGCUCAAGAUUAUUGUUUCCCUUGCCUUCCUAUCAAAUUCAGCAGCCUGUUCAGGGGUCUUUGAAAAGGGAACUUCCUUCUCUUCCUUCUUGGUGACUGGUUUAAUAACAUCUCCAAGGCCUUGUGUAAGUAAUGCCUCCAUUUUUACUUUCCACAUAUUAAAGUCAUUUUUACCAUUAAGCUUCUCAAGAUUGAUCUUUGGAUUAGCCAUAUUUGGAUCUUGACUCUAUAAUCCUAGCUCUGAUACCACUUAUAGUGCUCCGAUAACCCAAAAUACAGAGCUAUCAAAGCACUGCCCAAGAUUGAGGUCAAGAACAACCAAAUUGCAUAUGAUGAUCAGAUCAGUCUUUGAUACCUUUAAUUUUAAACCAGAAACUUCAAUCAAGGUUUCUAGGAAUCAAAGAAGUAAGAAACUCAACAAACACAGCAAACAACACACAGAAGAAAAAAAUUCAAUUACGUGGUUCAGUUGUGCUGUAAACACAACCUACUUCCACGGGAGAAGCCACCAUAAUGAGUAUUAUUAUUGAUUCAAGUCAAAAUUAUAGAGCUUUUACAGAGAUGAAUACAAGAACAAAGUAUCACACUCCACUCUCACUAAGAUCUCUCUAGAAAGUUCUCGAUUUCAUGCAUUGAAACCUACUCAACAAUCAGCUCAGAUAUUAGCCGAUACGCAACCCAGUUUUCACAGAUUACAGCCACGUGUAUAAUGGCUUUGUAACUGAUUUGAUUCCCUUCGCACAUGCAUCCCCACACGCCUCACUAAAGCAUGCUUAAAACGAUGUUGAAUGAUGUCGUUCAAAGAUAUAAGUUGAGCACAUGACUCGCUCGUGACUGGUUAAAGCAUUAUAACCAUUUGAAACGCUGUCGUUUAAUGACCCCAAGUUUUGAAUUCAUCAAUUAGAUCCACACUUCUAAUGUUUGUCAAGGGGAAGAAAGCAACAAGGUUGAAGCCAAAACAAUAUAACCUUUUGCUGAAUGACACUACUCUUCGUGAUUUGUCGGGAAAAAAAAGAAAAGAGGAAAAAAGAAUCAUAAUGAAUGCUAGCUAGUAGCUAUUUAUGCAACAACGGAAGCAAAGAAGGUAAUCAAUAAUAGAUGCAUUUUAUCACAGUACUAUCAUAUGUACAAAUAAUAAAGGACAAAGUUCCGACCAAAAUUUUAUACUCAAAAGCAACCAAAAAAAAAUAAUACAUAUAUAAUAAUGAAGAAUCCAAGAGAAACAAUCGCAAUAAAAUAUUGCAAAAGUCACUGGUGAAUUUUUUUUUUAAAAAAAGAGAGGUUUGGAAGAAAAUAGCUAAAGUUGAGUUGCGAGGAUAAAGAAUAAAACGAGUAUAGUGGCAAAAUGGUUGAAUAAAAUAAAUUAAAAAAAAUUUGAGAAAACGACCUUGCCCACGCCUUCAGCUUAUGUGCCCACGUUUUUUGUAAUUAUUUUGUACACAGAAAUGGUUUUCUUUUUUGAAACAUAGUGCAUCCUGCACAAUAAUGUUAGAGCUAACCAUAUGUUGGAAUUUGGAUGAAAAUCAAUAAUAAUACUCAUUAUGGUGGCUUCUCCCGUGGAAGUAGGUUGUGUUUACAGCACAACUGAACCACGUAAUUGAGUUUUUUUCUUCUGUGUGUUGUUUUCUGUGUUUGUUGAGUUUCUUACUUCUUUGAUUCCUAGAAACCUUAAUUGAAGUUUCUUGUUUAAAAUUAAAGGUAUCAAAGAUUGAUCUGAUCAUCAUAUGUAAUGGCUCAGUCAGUCUUGAGUCAUUUUAUUGUAGGUGUCUUAUAGUGCUAUAUUAAAGAACAAAGCACUUGUAAGAGAAAAUGCAUCCCUCGCACAACAAACUCUAUUUUUCAUGUUCUACAGUUCCUUACCCAUUUAAAGAACGCAUAAAUUGAUAUAAUAAACUUAAAACGUACCUGAAAGAGUAAAAUCUGCACUUAAACUCCACAUACCUGAAGUCCCUAAUAGAGAGAUUUAACUUAUAUUAGUUCCAUUGUGUUCGCACAAAGAAUUGCUUUUGUACAUUUAACUUGCUUCCUCACUUCAGCUAUAGCCUUGGCAGACUUCCUCACUUCAGAUUUAAUUUGUUUAUUGAACUCAUCUGCAAAGUAUUCAACCAACAAUAAUUCCAUAUUCUGACUGCCAAGUUCUGCAUCUCAUCUAAUAUCCUUAACCUGCAAAAUUGUCAAAUAUCAACUAGCAUCAAAAAGUAAUUAGAUAUGCAGAACAUAACAAGUGGCACAUAAAGAUUGUAUGGAGCACCGAUGAAGUGAAGAAAAAUAAUGCUACGGGAAUAAUAACCACUCAACUCAUAUUGCAUGCUUAUAUCCCAAGAUUAUUUAGUCAAAGGGUACAAAUACUUACAAAUAGCUUAUGAAUCCAUCAUAAUGGCUAUCAAAUACUAUUGUUCUAACUAUGGUAUCAGAGGCUUCCAAUUCAUAUGAUUGCAGCUCUCUAAAUCGCUAGAUUUCCGCUUACGAGCCCCCGCUAGCCUCAUUCCUGUAAUGAAAUUACAAAAUCAUUUAUCGUUUCCAAUUCACCUUCUCUUAAUCUAAUAAAUAAACAUAUAGGUUCUUGCAAGCUAAUUACAAGUUUUAAAUCUUUUCAAAAAAAAAAACUACGAGUUUUAAGAAAGAAUUACCUACUGUGUCGGUUGAUUCGAUCCGCACAAGAACAAAUCAAAGUGUCGCGAGAUUUGUUCUGAUUUGAUAUAUACCUUAACUUUCAGCACCGUUAACUUUCGAUUGCACUUUGCCGCGAUGAUUAUAAUUUCGCCGUCGAUUGCCCGAAAGUGAAAGGCCAUAUUCAUGUUCUAAUCACUAGAGGUUUUUAAUUCCCACAAAAAUUGCAAUCCUCUAAUUCUAAUUUUACGUCUUCAUUGCUGUCUCGAGAUCAAUUUUCUGCAGAAAUCAGUGAAACUCUAAUCAAUUCUAAGAAAUUUCUGGAAUCUACGCUCACUGAAAUGCUAUAAGAUUAGUACUCAACCAGCUGCAACGGUUGCUAGUCACCGCAUCAAUUAUCCAAUAAUUAAUUUCAGCCGUUAGAUUGAAUAAGCAAGCAUCCAACGACUUUGUUAAAUAAGGAUAAAAACUAUGGUACGAUACUGCAGUUGCAACAUAGAUGGAUCCCACAAACAAAUAAAUAUCAAUUUUCUUGAGAUUUCUUUUAAUAAAAGAAGGAGGCAGAGGAGAAAAUCAUAAAAGCAUCUGGCGCGAAUUGUUGAUGAAGAAGAUGACGAAAGAUUUAUGAUUUGGGUAUUAACUAACUUCCUUAUAUAUAUGUAUGUCUAAUUUUUUAGUCCUAAUAUUGAUUGGCUAGUUGUUUCUGACAUUUUUUCCCACAUAACUAAUUCUUCUUGUAAGGAAAGAAAUCUAAUAAUAUUGUCAUCUUUAUCCUUAUUUAGUUAUGGAAUAAAAGAGUUCAAUUUUUCUCUAUAAUUUAUAAUUUAUUAUUAAAUUAAUUUAAUCACUAAGGGUAUAUAAAUUAUUUAACUUCAUUCAUAUUUUCAAAAUAUUUAAAUUUUAUAACUAACAUCAAAAUUAUAAGUAAAAUGAUCAAAUGACAUAUAAAGUUAAUAUCAUUAUAACUGUAGAAGCAUUUGAACCUAUUUUUAAAACAUGAGAGACAAUUUCGUUUAAUUUUUUCUAAAUAAUAAGAACAGUCCUCAUUUUUCUGUUUUAAAGAAUGUCUUUUGUGAAUGUGUGGUCUUCUGUAAAAUUGAAAUUGUAAUCCGUUAUCUAAAAAACGCAAUGAAUAUUUUAAAUAAGCUACUUGAAAAUUUUAAAACGCAAUGAAAAUUUUUCAGAUUCUGGCGAAAUAGAAACUUUGUCCAAUUGCUUCUCAGAUUUGAAAAGUGCAGGCAACGGACAGCUACUUGUCCUCAAUAAUUCAUAGGAGCGACGUCGGUUUGAUACCUCCUAAAAUUAUUUCGAUUAUAAGGGGAAAAAAUACGGAAUUGAAAGUAUAUUAUAUUUGAGCUGUUUUCGGAAUGAUUUGAGUGCUCUCUAGAAGGAACUAGAGUGCUCUAGCGAUUGCACAGCUUUAUUUAUUUUACUUUUUCUCUUUUCGCUUUUAAAUGUUAAAAAAUCUAUGCGGCGUGGGCCGUAUUUCCGCAAUUUAUUAUUUAAUCAAAUUGUAAAGUGAUCGUUAGAUCUAAUCCAAUGGCCAAAAAUACUCUCUUGUAUUAUAACUAUAAUUCAAGCUCAUAAUUUAAUAAUAAUAUUAAAUUAUCAACUCGUACAAAUUAAUAACUUUUGUAAAUUUCAACAAAUUUUAGAUUUUAGAUUAGAACACACAUAUAUGUACACACACAUAUAUAUUAAACAAUAAACACAGACAAAAAUUAAUGCUAUUUUAUACAACAUAAAUGGCCCCUGUUCCAAAUUAAAAUAUUGGCAUUAAUUGCAUUUGGCAAGGACAGACAAUGAAUAACUUGUUUUCAAUAAUUAACAAGAUGAAAGGGGAUCCAAACACAGGUUGAAUGACAUCUCUUACCUUUUUGUAAAUGACGACUUUUCUCUAAUUGGCACUUGCAGUAGUUAAAUUUUAAAGGGGCCGAUAGCUCUCUACUAAGUAUUAAUUUGUCAAAAUCUGAAGAAUCAUGACUUUUUUUUUUAAUGAGAUCUUCUUAUUUUUAAUUUUUACUUUCAAACUUCUAUAUAGGGCUAUCCAUGAUAUUAUAUUUUAAGCUGAAACUUUUUCGAAUGCUAAAUUACGGACAACACAACUGAAUAAAUAUGUCGAUAUCUAUUUAAACUUUAAAUUUUUCAAAUAGGGUGUCACUGAUGUUAUUUGAUGAAAAUACAGUCAGAUCACACUUAUAAUUAUACCAUUGAAAACCGAAAGCGAAGGGAAAAUUUUUUCAUGACUAAAUUAUAGAUCCUCAGUCUCAUUAGUUUUUCACUAUCGUCAAGCAAGCUCUUAUUAGCUUGCAAAGGGCAUUAAACCCUUCAUCAACACUUUUUCAAAGACCAAUUUUGUCAUAAAACAAGCAUAAAAAAAUAAAUCUAAUUGGUUAAAAUAAUUAUAAAUAAAUUAUUUAAAAAAUAAAAAGAAUUAAAUUUUAAAUGAAUUAUAAUUUUUUUUUAUUCUUUAUUUUGUAUUUAUUAAUUUAAUUAUAGAAUAAGUUCAUUUAAUGUUUAUAUUUUUAAAUUUUAAUUAUACUUUAUAAUAAAUAUUGAAAAUUUAACAUCAAUGGGAGAACUUGUCCUAAUAAAAAAUAAUUUCCUUUAUCUUUAGAAUUUUAUAUCAAACCUAGAAAUAGUAGGAAAGCCCAUAUGGGCAAUGCGAACCAAGCUUUGUCCUACUCGAGAGUGAGGCGAGCCAGAUCCAGGCUUCAGUAGUACAUUUGAUAAGCCUGGGCAUGGGAAGCCCUAAUUUUAUUGAAAAAGUUUUAAAAUAUUAAUUAUAUUGAAUAAUUAUAUUUACUUAUCCACCUCUUACAUAUGUUAGGAAUUUUAAACCUUUAGCUUCAACUUUUCAAGCCUAAUUUUAUUAUAAUAAAAUUUUAAAAAUUAUAAAUUUAUCAAAAAAAUUAAAAAAAAAUUAAAAAAAAUUAAAAAAUACAAACUCUUGGCUUUCUAUGCCCAGAUCAAAUAGUCCUUAGUCAUUACACUCCCCUCUCCCUCCAAUUCCUCUCCUUAAUUCUUCUUUCCUUUCCUUUUUAUUUUUCCUCUCAUUUAUUCAAACCAAGCACUACCAUAAAAUAUUAACCCAAAUUUUGUUAGAAUUUUAGUAUAUCACCCAACAACCAUCUAUAAUUUUAGUAUGUUAGAUAGUGUAGAGGAAAAGAAAUUCCAUAUUAGACAAAAUUGAAAAAUAAAAUAUUAGUUAAAAAAUAUUCUCAAAUUUGCAUCGAUUUGUGCAUAGUAGUGACCGCCUUCUCAAUUGCUUCCAACCAUUGAUUAGAGAGAUCCUUGAGUAGCAGCAAAGUGUUUACCCUUUUGGUGCAAUUUAUUAUUUAUACCCCAAAUUAAAAUCCUUGAUAUAAAAAGGAAAACUCUAAGUUACAUUUCAUGUAACUUACACUCACGAUAUAAAAAGAUAUUGUUCUUUCACAAAAGAAAAAAGGGUCAAAAUGUAGAAAGAAAUUUCUCUCUUUAAUUUUGAGAGAAAUUUUUUUCUAUUGUUAGUUGUUUAUAGUAGUAAUAAAGACACCCAUAUAUCAAGUGCAGAUUGAAUUUGAGUCAUAACUUGAAAAAUCGUUGGUGAUAGAUCAUGAUCUAAUAAGAUCAUCGAUGACAGAUCAUAAUCUAAUAAGAUUAGUGGUGAAGGAUUGUGACUUCAAAGGCUAAAUUACUUAGUUAAAUUACUUCUACGAGAAAGUAAAGGUAUGAUUUCUAGAUUAUGAUAAUUUCAUAUAAUGUAUGGGAACUUCAAUCUAAAUAUUUAUAAUAUAAAACUAUUUUUAACCAACAAUUCCUACAUAUAGUUUGAUGAAAUCAUAUAUAGAGAUGAUAUAAUUAUUUCAAAGUAAGUUUAUUUUCAAAAAACUAUUAUCCAUUUACUAAGUUCACAAAGUUUCAUACUCAUUCUAUUUUUCUAUAUUCUUCAUCCCCCCCAGCCCAAAACCUAAACAAGAGAUUCGCAGGCACACGAGAGACCUAGUGAUAAGAGAUAUUUUGAGUUAUUCCCACUUGAUGGUCCUAGGAUUGACAUAUGUUAUUAUUAUGACAUUUUGGAUUGUAUAACUAUAUUUUGAUUAGAUGAUUAAGGAUGAUUAAUGUAUGUUGACAUUAGAAUGGUUGGGUGAUAUUUGGUGUUAUAGUUGAGGAGAUUGAUUGAUGAAUUUGGUUGAAUAAUGAACUAUUUCAGAAGUGUUUAUUUUAUACAUUUGCGGCUUUGGAAAAGUUAUAAAUGUAGGGGAAACUUUGCCCCAUUUUUUCGGCAAAUUCAUAUUAAUUAGUUUAUUACUAGUCAAGUUAGAUGAUAAAUAGACAAAUUCACCUUUAGAAUUCGAGCGGGUCGUUUCAUCUAAUUCUUUUAUCUUUAUCUAGGAUUGUAGUGUCCAAAAAUUAAGUAAAUAAUUAUUAGUAUUAAUUUGAUUGGAUUAUUAUGGUUAUUGAUUUAUUUUCAUAUUUCAUUGUUAAAUUUUUUUAUUAUGUCAUUCACUAUAAGAAAAAUAAUAAUAGAUGACUGACACUUUAUGAUAAAAAUCGCUAUAUCAUAAGAGUAUGACAGGGUUGUGAUAAAAUUAUUGUCUAUCAAAUGAUUAAUGAUGUACUUGUGAUAUAAUUUGUGUUUAUUGAGAAUUUAUGAUAGGAUAGUGAUAAAAAUAUACUCUAUCAAAAACUUUGUGAUAGAAUUUUAACAUUGACCGUGUUUGACCAAAUUUUAAAUUAAUAUUUUAUUAAAAUAAAAAUAAAAUCAAAACAGGGCUUUUAGACUAAGACAUAAAAUUUUCUCAUGUCACGGAACUCACUUAGUCUGUUAGUUAGUCACUUAUUGCUCACCACAUAACGCAUGCCACUCAUCAACUAACACUGUGAAAUCAAUGCCACUAUGAUUUCAGUAUUCAAAUAGUGUUCUUGCUGUCGUUAGAACACUGAUGACAACUACGAUGACGAAGCACGCGCAAAACUAGGCCACAAGUCUCACCAAGUUACGCUUCCAUGUCACCACAACUCCACAUCACUGUCACUCAAAGCCAGGCCAAGCCGCCGCUGCUCUGAGGUAAAUUUUCCGUUCAUAGGACUUGCAUUGCUUUUCAUCAUAGAAGAUCGAGUAAAUUCAUUUUCGUAUGUGUUGAUUUUUGUUUUGAGAUUGUGAUAGCGAUUUCCGUUUUGAUGGAUUUGAAUUUAGAUUCUCAGAGAAAUACGUGAGAUUGUAAAUAGAUUUUAAAUUGAUUAAGUUGUUAGGUCUUCUAAAUUUUGUCAAUUUUUUCCUUUUUUUUCUGAUUUUUGGGCUGGAUUCAUGGUUAUUUCUCAAAUUAUCUCUACUGACAUGCUAAAGCUUAAGCUAUUAAAUGUUCAUGUACAUUCAAGUGCUUAUGUCUAUGCCGAAUGCAUCUUGAACGUAUGAACUUUGCAUUUUGAUGAUAUUAUUCAGCAGUCUUUUCUUUAUUGGGGCUAAUAUUGGUAUUUUCUGGACUGAAAAAAAAUUAGACGAAAUAAUAGUUUCUAACGAAGCCUACUAGGUGUUUGAUGGAAUGCAUUAAAGAAAAAAAAUUGCCUUAGUUUUUAUUUUGUGGCAUAUUCUGUUGAAUCUUUCAUUUUAAUUUUUAGUUUUUGUAGGUUGAACAUACAUCUUUGAUAAAGUGACUACAUGAAAAGGUUUUUAAUUAACACUUUCAUAAGUGGAUUGUAAUUGUCAUGUUAUCUAUGCAACAUGUCCAGAGAUUAACUUUGUUAUUUGGCCCCAAAACUGCAAGGAAUUAGAAUACGGCAACUAACAUUUGUAAGGUAAUCUAAUGUCUCUGUUUAUACCUGGAGCUCAUAUUAUAAGUAAGCUAGUUGAUUUGUUUUGUGUCUUAUUAUUCUUGUAUUCUAUAUUCGAUAUAUGUAGUUAUUGCAGGAACUUAUUAACUUGGAUUUGGCUUUGGAUUUUUAUAUGGAAUAACUUUUUGUCCUCUUUAUUUCACUUCUUUAAACACCUGUCUCUUCCUUUUGCACAUAUGUUUAACACUCUUUUUCUAUUCAAUGAUACCCAAAAAUAAUUGAUAUUAUCUAAGUAUUUGAAAUUUUAUCUCAAGAAUUAUAAUUGUACUAGAAAUUAAAAAUUGAGUAGCUUUUUUAAGCAAAGAUGUUGACAGUGUUUGUUUUAGCCAAAAGAAUAAUCAGUGCUUUGGAAGAAAGAGGAAAAACAUUGUUUCUGUGGUUUAUAUUUUCUAGAGCGUAUUUACAAAAACUUGCUAAUGGUAACGACAUUCGCUGGAGUUGUUUUUGGGUUCUUUGUAGGAGUAUUACAAAGGUAUUCACUGAAAAAGCAUAUAAUAGACAGUUAAGCUGUUGUAAAAGGGUAUUCACUGAAUAAGAUAAGAGACCCAGCUUUCUGUCUUGUUCUUGCAUCUCAGUUUUCAGACAAUUGUAAACUAUUUUCUGUAACUCCCUGGUCUUCAUUGUGCCUUUGGGUAACUCUUUUCUAAUUUGUUGCAUUAAAUAUUAUGGGUUCACUUAAUCAUUUAAAUUUAGUAGUUUAUGAGUUAUGUUAGGUGACAUAGAAAACAAGUGUGGUUUCUUAAGCUAUUUGGAAUAUUUUAAUUGCUACUGCUUCACUGUUAUUGUAAAGAUGUUUACCUUAAUUCUUCAUUGGGUGCAUCAUAUUCAUGACCCCUUAUUCUCUUUUGAAACUGCAAAAUGAUUCAAGCUGCCAAAGUUUUUUAAGUAUUUUGAGAAUGAACUUGGAGCAACUGUGAUAUUUGGAUUAUUUGCAAUAUCUUGGGUCAUUCUACGAUUAAUAUUCUUCCUCUUUUGGGUCAUCAAAUGUACAAGUUUUUCCUGCAUGAUAAAUGAUUUGAUGCCACCUUAUUUGGUCGUCUAGCAGUUUCUUUGGCUUAUUUGCUUUUUUGAUUUGCAUUUUCCAACUAUGAUCUUUAGUUCUACUUGAACUUAUCAUAUAUACUUUCAUUUACUACUUGUUCAAUACAAUGUUGCCGACGCUCUUUGUGGUCCAGAUAUGCUGGUGGGUUCUCA
rnacentral:lncRNA from 1 species